AUAAACUGCACCUUUGGUAUUAGUGCUUAUAGUAUUCACCACACCGCACGCUCGCCUUGGAUCCAAGUAGGUGGAUGUCGUACAGACCACUAGAGGUGGUUCCGACAUGCCAGUCGUACAGACCAUUAGAGAGGUUCCGACUGGUGGGUGACUUUAGAUUAUGUGCACAGAUGAUUGAUGAGAGAAGCACUAGAGCGUAUUAUUUCACCAUCUUAGUCGUACAGACUACUAUAGGUAGUUCCGACUUAUGUGCAGUGUAGUGCCGUACAGGUCACAGUUGGUGACUCCGGCAGGGCCGUACAUGUCACAGUUGGUGACUCCGGCUUGAUGGGAUAUUGAGCUAUAGAAUCAGCCGUACAGGACCACUGCAGGGUUUCCGGUUGAUUUAUUAUUUCACCUGAGUUAUAUUGAUGCAUUCAUAUUAUAUUUUGGCAUGGCAUGACAUAUUCUUUCUGAGAUGUUAUGUUGAUAGAUGGUAAGCUGAGUUUUGAUGAUAUAUAUAUAUAUAUAUAUAUAUAUAUAUGUUUAUAUACUAUUUUUCUGGGAAAGUAUACAGGUUUUACGGUGAGGGGUUAGAAACGUUUUAAAUAAAUGUUUUUGGAAAAUCUUUGGUUUUACUGACCCACUCACCUUUGUUUUGCGCGCCUCCAGUUCUAGUUAGCUGUUGGUGGCUCACGAGGUCUUUUUCGGCAUUCUGACAGACGUUCUGCAUGUAGGACUCACCUGCGGGUGUUGUACUUUAAUUAUGGUCCUACUUGACUGCACUUAUACCUACGCUCUGAAUUCGUGUGUUUUACUUUAUAACUCUCUCUUGUAUGCUAGUAGGUUAUGCUGCUAGUGGUUGGUUUAAAAUUUCUUCAUAUUUCUGUUAUAUCUUGCUUCCGUGUCGCACUUUUGGCUACGUCACACUCACGUGACGGCCAGCACGCCUUGAUUCUAGGAUCGGGGUGUGUCAGAUAUAAUCAAUGAAUGUCAUUUAUAACCGCCAUGAGUUUCCACCUAACACCAGGAAGUUAAUUAUAUUGUCAAAUAAUUCAAUUAUCCCGUCGUUCCUAACUGACAGAAACAUUUAAAAAAAUAAAAUCUAUUAUAAACAACUAGUUUCUGUCGUCCGCAAGAGAAAAAUAUUCAUAAUUAAAAAAAACGAAAAUGUCGGUUUUUUCUUUUCUUUACUUUUUUAAAUGAAUGAAUAAAAUAAACAAAGUUCUUAACAAACAUAAUAUGCAUUCAAAUAUAUAAAUUAACAUACAAUAAUGUAUUCUGAAUCCGCCAUAAUACAUGAAGUAGACAUUAAAUGUAUAAAUUAAUAUACAAUAAUGUCUUCUGAAUUCACCAUAAUACAUAAUGUAGACACACAAAAAAAGAUCGUAGUAGGCAAUGUGUCAUACAUAUCCGUAAGGACAACCAACAAACUAUUCAAUAGAAUCCGAGCCUAAAUGUGCUCCAAAUCCUUCUGCUGAUCCUCCUUGUGCUGCAAAUCCUUAUGUUGAUCCUCCAUGAGCUCCAAAAUACCUCAUCACAUCCCCAUAAAAACUCCCCCUAUAUUCAUAAAGAAAAAUAAUGUUCCCCUAUAUUCAUAAAAACAUACAUGUUAGUAAAAAUCUGCAAGUAAAAAAACGAAAAAUAUAUACUUUAAUUCUUUCCCACAAAACUUCCUUAUCUUUUUCCCGAAUCAAGCGCCAAUCCCUCUUCAAAGGAAGAUUUAUUGGAUCCCUAUCAAUAGCUAUGAAUUUUGAAAAUUCAGCAGCAUUUGAACUAACACAUUUCGCCGUCAAAGCAAAUGAACAAGGUUGUCUCUCUUUCCACUUUAGAAUUGUAGCUCUGCAGAUUCUAUGUUGAGGUUCCUUAUUAAUUAAAAACAAACAUUUGUCAUGUAUUUCUAAAACGACAAAGGAAAAACAAACAUUUGUCAAUAUUCAAUUUAUGCAUAAUACAAUUAAUUUAAAAUGCACUGAUUUCAGUUUGUUCCUGGAAGAUGGCCUUCAAUUUGUUCCUCCACAGAUACAGAGGAGAAAUGAAGGAAGGAGAAAGAGAAGAAAUGAAGGAGAAAAUAAGAAAUGAAGAACGACCCACGAAGUAAAAGUGCGAAGUAGAAUUCUUUUAGCUAGGGGAAUAAAUAUUGUCGGUCGUAACCGACAAGAUGAAUAAAAACCACCAGUGCUUUUAUAUUUAUGUCAGAGUAGUGUCGGUUAUAGCCGAGAACAUCAACAAAAAACCAGCAAGGUAAUAACUAUUGUUGGUUGUGGAGCCAAAAAUAAUCACAAGGCGACACAUGGAUUUUUGGUAAAAAAGACAAAGUUACCUCUGAGACACAUCGGUUGUCCUAUGCGCGAGCAGUGGAAAUCAUUCUUUAAUCAAGCCAAGAGUGUCCAAAAAAGGUAACCAAUUCCAAAUUAUCUCAUCCAUCCUCAUCUUAGGUAAUUACUUCAUAACCUACAAAUUAUUCCAUAUAAAUGGAGAUUAAUUGGCUAAUUAAUGGAUUAAUUCCUAAUUAAUCCAUUAAUCACCAAUUAAAUCACCCAUUUUCACACAAAAAACCUCUAAGGGUCGGCCACCUCCAUUCCCUAUAUUUUCUAAAAAAGGAGGUCCACACUCUUGCAAAACUCCCAAAAACUCUUCAAAUACUUUUCUCUCUAAAUUCUAACUUUGGCAUCAGAGGUUCUUCAGCCAAAGCCCCCUCAUUCAUCGUGGGCGCGUGAGGCUUGGCCUUGACCUAAGGUGUUAAUUGUUUUGUAGGUACAAUUUUGUCCAAGAAGAAGAAGGUGGAAAUUUGCAUCCACAUCGGUUAUAACCGACAAUAUGAAUAAAAACCGUUGGUGCUUUAUUAUGUAUGUCAGAGUAGUGUUGGUUACAUCUGACAACAUCAACCAAAAACCGCUAGAACAUUUCUCUCCGUCGAAUUUAGUCUGCCAUUAAUCUUUUUUGAAUCAAAGUGACAGGAAAUUUCCUGCCCAAAAUUUUGCCCUCGUGUAUUUUGGUUUGGUUUUUUGUUUUUUUGUUUUUUUUACCAAUAUAACAUUUUAAAAUUUUACCAUACAAACUAAAAUAUUUUAAGUGUAAAGUAUGCGAUAAAGAAAUAAAAAGGUAAUUUUACAAUAAUAAAAUAAAUCACGUAUGUUAGAUUUAACUGACAUUACAUUUACUAUAACUGACAUAAUACUAAAAUAAUAAAAAUAGUUAAAUUUUGUCGGUUAUAACCGCCAUUUAGGGAUGGCAAUUUAACCCGUUAAAUCCGAUCCCCGCAAUUAAGUAACUGAUCUGAAUGGUUCGGUUUCGGGCAUAAAAUUUCAGGUAUUUUACGGUUAUGGGUAACCGUUGGGUAAAUUUUUCGGUUUCGGGUUCGGUUAUGGUUAUUGGGGUAUCCGUCCCAAACCCAUACCCAAAACUGAACCAUUUCAUCUAUGAAUACAAAAAUAUAAAUAUUUAUUAUAUAAAAAUGGGUUGUUAAUAGUCAUGCAUUAUUAAAUAUGAAAUUAAUUAUUUACUUCUAUAUCAUUAAUAAUAGAAAUUAAAUGCUUAUAAUUUCAAGAGUGUAAAUGUUUUCUUAGUAAUAUAAAUGUUUAAUAUUACUUAUUAGAUGCAUUGUAUCAAUUGUAUUAAUAAUAGCAAUUUAUUUAAUAUCGUGUUUUUAAUAUUCUUCAUUCAGUUAAUAAUAUAAAUAAAUAUAUAAAUAUCAUAAUGGGAAAAACCGUUCCCGAUCAAAAAUUUGUCACCCAACGGGUUCGGUUAUAGGGAAAACUCAUUCGAGGAUUCUAUGGGUUCGGGUUCAGGGAAAAUAAACGGGUUCGGGUAUGGGGAUGGCACGUCCGAACCCAAUCCGCCCCAUUGUCAUCCCUACCGCCAUUAGGAACUCUAAAACCGCCAAAAUGUGUUAAAAUAUUAUUAAAAAAACAAACUAUCCACCAGGAAUUCUUGUUAAGGACGGGAUUUUUGGAAUUCAAAAAUCCUAACGGUUAUACUAAUUUUAUGUUGGUUGUAUCCGACAUUUGUGUUUCAUGUCAAAUAUAACUGACAUGAGUUCUUUGUUAUUCUACAUUAACUGGAUGACAUGUCGGAUAUGUUUUAUCCGACAUAAUAACUUAUUAAACCGCCACCAUCAUUCGACAUCUAAACACUACUACAAAAGGGCCCUAUAGUGUGAGUUGUUGCGUCGGUUUAAUAUAAUAUAGUGGCGCACAAGAGAGUUGCGACACCCACUGAAUAUGACGUCGGUUUUAGAAAGCCUGCGUCGCUUUUAAACGACGUAAACAUUUAAUGUCGCUUAUAACCGACACACAUUUUAAUAAUUUUAAAUACUGGCGUCGCUUUAAAUAAAACAGUGUCGCUUUUAAGCGACAUAAAGUAUGGGUGUCGCAUAUAGAAGCGACACUAAUUGAUUUUUUUAUAUAUUUUAAAUCCUACGUCGGUUCUGAGCGACAUAUAUUUUAUUUUAAAUAUUUUGAAACCCAGUGUCGGUUGUAAGCGACAGACUGAUGGUCUUUAUAUACCCUCCCCCGUGUUUUCUUCGUUUUCUCUUGCAUUUAUCUCAUUCUCACGGUUUACAAAACUUCUGCUGUUCUCUCUCUCACCUUCCGAGUUCUUCCAAGUUCAUUCUUCACAAAGGUAAGUUUUUCUUGCUUGUAGUAUUUUUAUUUUCUCCUCUUAUGUUUAAUGUUUUGAUACAAUUUAUUGUUGUAGGGAAUUUAUUUGAGCUGGUUGAGUAUAUAAAGAAUUGAUCGACGACGGAAUUCUUCUAUAAUUCAGGUUUCUAUCACUAAAUUCUUUAAUUUUUAAAUUGUAUAAUACACAAGUUUAUUUAUUUAAAAAUUGUAAUUUAAGUAGUUAGAUAAAUUUCUAUUAUUUUUGUUAAAUUAAUUCAUAUUUAGGCGAAUUAAUUAAUUUUGUCACUUGAAUUGUUAUGGGAAAAUGGAAUGAAUAUUAUUUAUAAGCAUUUAUGUUAAAUUAACAACAUUAAAUAUAACAUAAACUUAUAAUAUUGAGUAAUUUAAGAAUAUAUUAUGUUAAAUUAUUUUUUUUUGCACUCUAAUUGUUAUUUUAAUUUGUUGUUAUUUUGAUAAUUUUUUGUUGUUAUUUACUAGAAUGGAUUAGAUGAGAAUAAAUUUGAAUUGUUAUGAGAAAAUGGAAUGAAUAUUAUUUAUAAGCAUUUAUGUUAAAUUAACAAUAUUAAAUAUAACAUAAACUUAUAAUAUUGAGUAAUGUAAGAAUAUAUUAUGUUAAAUUAAUUUUGUUUGCACUCUAAUUGUUAUUUUAAUUUGUUGUUAUUUUGAUAAUUUUUUGUUGUUAUUUACUAGAAUGGAUUAGAUGAGAAUAAUUUGAAUUGUUAUGAGAAAAUGGAAUGAAUAAUAAUUAUAAGCAUUUAUGUUAAAUUAACAAUCUUAAAUAUAACAUAAAAUUAUAAUAUUUAGUUAUAUAAGAAUAUAUUAUAUUAAAUUUUUUUUUUUUGCAAUUUGAAUUGUUAUGAGAAAAUGGAAUGAAUAAUAUUUAUAAGCAUUUAUGUUAAAUUAACAAUAUUAAAUAUAACAUAAACUUAUAAUAUUUAGUAAUAUAAGAAUAUAUUAUGUUAAAGAAUUUUUUUUUUUGCAAUUUGAAUAUUUAUGAGAAAAUGGAAUGAAUAAUAUUUAUAAGCAUUUAUGUUAAAUUAACAAUAUUAAAUAUAACAUAAACUUAUAAUAUUUAGUAAUAUAAAAAUAUAUUAUGUUUGUUGAUGCACAAAACCGGAUGUCUUGGAACAACGUAAAUCCGACCGUGAAUCUGCAAGAAAUGUAAAUGACACAAGAUGUAUCGUGGUUCACCCCAAUGUUUGGGCUACGUCCACACUGUAGUUGAUUCUGUUUCUCUGUAAUUGUAUGGAUACAAGUGUUUGGGGGAAGUCCCCCGGAGGAGAAAGAAGAGAAUGGAGAGGAGAGCCUCGGUGGUGUGAGGUCUCUCCUGAAUGUAAUGAUAGCUUCUCUUAGCCUUCUUAGGCUUGGUUCUUUUUGCCCCCCCUUAGAAUGAGGGGAGGAGUCCCCUUUUAUAGAAUAAGGGGCUCCUCCUCUUUUACAAAGUAUGGGCUUUAGUGUGAGGCCCAAAUACAAGGCCCAAGGCCCAAAUAUACGAGGCCCAAUAUAUGGUACCAACAGGAGUCCCCCAAGUCUUCAGUCAAAGGAGUCUUUUGGCUGGAGACUUCAAAUCCAAUCCAUGUACGGGCCGAAGUGGCUAGAUGUCUUGAACCAGUAUCAACCCAAGGUAAUGCUCAACAUAAAGCAAUACUCGGCUAGAGGUAUCACACGUUACGAGAUUGCUCGGCUGGAGGCGAUACUCGUUACGAGGCUGCUCGGCUAGAGGCUAUGCUCGCGGCUCGGCGGCUCGGCUCGUGGUAUUCCUCAUUGCAAGUAUCUACUUUAUGUCGACAUGCACUCAGUAUGAGUUGAUUCUCGACAUGACUCGGGUCUGCUUGUCGGGUUCGCAUAUUGGGUCUAUGUGUCGGAUCCGCGGAUCGGGUCCGCAAGUCGGGUCUUUGAAUUGGGGCCAUACGUAGGGGCAUCAAGUUGGGACUAUCUGUAGGGUCAUCGAGUUGGGUCCGAGCACAUAGGUGUCCCAAUAAGCGAAUGUCCGAGCAAGUGGGUGUCCGGUCAGACAAGAGAUCACCAUGAGCACGUGGCUCAUCAGUCUAUAAGUUGGUAGACUUCGUUAAUCAGCAACAACGUUAAUCAGUGGACCUAGUUGUUCAAUAAUUCCUGACAAUAAAUGACAGUAUAAGUACGACCGUAUAAUGAAUAAAUCAAAUUGACAAAGUUUGUCAAGGCAAAAUAUUGUACUAUGUUCUUCUAUAAAUAAAUAAUUUAUUCAGUCGUGUGGUAAAUGAUUUGUAUCAUAUAUCAACAAUAUAACAGGUAUUGCCUAAAUGUGUGUGUAUAUAUAUAUAAUCAUGAAUAAAUGAUUUAUUUAGUUCUUUGAUAAAUCACAUGACAAUGAUAUUGAGAAAACAUAAUUAUAUUUCUUUCAUGGCCGACAAUAUCAAAGUGAAAAGUAGAGACUUCAUAAUAAAAGUGCUCUUAUCUUGAGUUUUACCGUGGCUUUUUUCUGUUAGACAGAUGGAUAAUGGGUAUAUAUUAUACCCUGUAAUAUUAAAUAAUAAUAUUUGUAAUAGCUUUUCAGAAAAUGGGAUGCAUGAUGAAAGUUUGGCCAUUGUGUAAUCAAAUGCUGAGAGAAAAAGUGGAUUUCGAAAGAUGUGUUGCUGAGUCACUACUAACUAAUGCUUUUGGUGCCAUAAUAUAUGGUUUGUUGCUUUCUCCAACAUAUAAUGUAACGUUCCCUUUGUUUUUUGUGUUAAAAUAAUAAAAUAAUUAUAAUAAAAUUUAUCUUUUUAGACGGAGUGGGCAGCACUUAUAGAACAAUUGAGGCAGACAAAACAAAGUAAAGCUGGCACCAUUUAUAGAAUAAUUAAGAAAUAACAUAAAGAAAUAUAAAGUUUCUGACAACCACUUAUCUUUUCGUGGGGUGUGGUUUGUGGCAUGAAAUGCUCUUCCAUGAUGAUACAUCUCCUUCAAACCGAUAGUCCAGUGAUCCCAUUCUAUGCCACUCAGCUACUAGAAUUGCACUUUUAGCUGUUCAGCUUGUUUACUGUCGACGGGAACCGGCGGGUACAGCCUCAUGCUCUCGCACAGUGCCAUGUGGGUGUACACCAUCUCCUUCACCUCGUCGUGACCUCCCCCCGCCGCUAACUCAGACGACGAUGUGUCGUUGAUCUCCUUCAAGAUCUCUUGUUCUACAUGUGGGUUUUGCGAAAGCAGCCAGAAGAACCAGGUGAGAGCAGCCGAAGUGGUGUCCCGGCCCACGAGGGUAAAGCUGAUGAUGAUGUCGGUGACAAACUUUUUGUCGGAGUGAUGCACUGGAUAUAUGGUGAUGCCCCAAUCAUUCUUAGCAUGGUGGAGAUCGGUGUGGCAUAUCCCACAGUAUAAGAUCUUUAUGGUCGCAUCGUUGAUCCCAUUUUCUCUUCGUUUGAAGACGAAAUGAGUGGGAUGGUAGAAGCAGUAGCUAGUCGAUUGGGUUUUGCAGAUUCACGGCGGGGGGUGAAAAAAAUGAAAGAGAACCGACACAACUUUUCGUAUCGUUUCCCACAGACGGAUACAAGAUCUUUAUGGUCGCAUCGUUGAUCCCAUUUUCUCUUCGUUUGAAGACGAAAGGAGUGGGAUGGUAGAAGCAGUAGCUAGUCGAUUGGGUUUUGCAGAUUCACGGCGGGGGGUGAAAAAAAUGAAAGAGAACCGACACAACUUUUCGUAUCGUUUCCCACAGACGGCGCCAAAUGUUGAUGCACAAAACCGGAUGUCUUGGAACAACGUAAAUCCGACCGUGAAUCUGCAAGAAAUGUAAAUGACACAAGAUGUAUCGUGGUUCACCCCAAUGUUUGGGCUACGUCCACACUGUAGUUGAUUCUGUUUCUCUGUAAUUGUAUGGAUACAAGUGUUUGGGGGAAGUCCCCCGGAGGAGAAAGAAGAGAAGGGAGAGGAGAGCCUCGGUGGUGUGAGGUCUCUCCUGAAUGUAAUGAUAGCUUCUCUUAGCCUUCUUAGGCUUGGUUCUUUUUGCCCCCCCCUUAGAAUGAGGGGAGGAGUCCCCUUUUAUAGAAUAAGGGGCUCCUCCUCUUUUACAAAGUAUGGGCUUUAGUGUGAGGCCCAAAUACAAGGCCCAAGGCCCAAAUAUACGAGGCCCAAUAUAUGGUACCAACAAUGUUAAAUUAAUUUUUUUUUGCAAUUUGAAUGGUUAUGAGAAAAUGAAAUGAAUAAUAUUUAUAAGCAUUUAUGUUAAAUUAACAAUAUUAAUAUAACAUAAACUUAUCAUUUUUAGUAAUAUAAGAAUAUAUUAUGUUAAAGAUUUUUUUUUUGCAAUUUGAAUGGUUAUGAGAAAAUGAAAUGAAUAAUAUUUAUAAGCAUUUAUGUUAAAUUAACAAUAUUAAUAUAACAUAAACUUAUCAUUUUUAGUAAUAUAAGAAUAUAUUAUGUUAAAUUAAUUUUUUUUACAAUUUGAAUUGUUAUGAGAAAAUGGAAUGAAUAAUUUAAAUAAGCAUUUAUGUUAAAUUAACAAUAUUAAAUAUAACUUUUGCACUAUAAUUGUUAUUUUAUUUUAUUGUUAUUUUGAUAACUUUUGGUUGUUAUUUACUAGAAUGGAUUAGAUGAGCAUAAUUUUGAUAACUUUUUGUUGUUAUUUUAAUUUGUUUUUACUAUAAUAGGUGUUGAGAAUUAAAAGAUUGCAAUCGUGAUAGAGUUCGAGGGUUGAAAGAUAGAAAUUGAAAAUUCUAAUAGUUAUGCCUACAUGAUAGGGAUUGCAAGAUUGUAGGCAUCUUAGUGUCAGCGCAAUAUUUUACCCUCGUAAACUGGUAAAACAUGGAAAAGAGUUGGUUGACGAUACCCUGAAAUUUUGAAGCGUAUACAGCUGGAAUUAAUUUGUUUUUGGAUCAAGCAGUUGCAAAUGGUGUUGGUCCUGAUAAGUUUAGAUGUCCUUGCAAAAGAUGUUGUAAUCAAUAUACUUUUGUUAGGAACACUAUUAUUGAACAUCUCAUAUUGUAUGAUAUGGAUAAAGAUUAUAAAAAUGCUUGCUGGCGACAUCAUGGCGAGCAAAACAUUGGAGAGCAAAAUGUGGCAAUUGGAGAAGAAGAAACAGGAGAUGAGGUGAUUAGCAUGCAUGACUUUCUUAAUGAUGUAUUUGUCCAACCAUUAACAGAAGAAGGUGUUGGGCCGUCUACUGAACCGUCUAUUGGGGAAGGGCGUCCAGAAGAGGUGGAGACUUUUUUUAGGUUGCUUGAAGAGGCAGAUCAAGAUUUGUGGCCAGGGUGUAAGGAGUUUAAGAAAUUAGAAGCAGUUGUAAGACUGUAUCAGAUCAAGUGUUUAGCGGGAAUGCCAGACGACAUCUUCACAACUUUACUGGAGUUAAUUAAAAGAAUGUUGCCUGAAGGGGAUUGUUUGCCUGAAUCAUGUUAUAAGGCAAAAAAACUUAUAAAUGACUUGGGUCUGACGUAUGUGAAAAUUGAUGCAUGUCCCAAUGAUUGCAUGAUCUAUUGGAAAGAUACUUCGGAUUUGACCGUGUGCUCGGUUUGUGGUGAAUCAAGAUAUAAAAUUACCAACGCAGCGGAUAGGUCGAGAAAAAGAUCGCAGCUAAGGUUAUGUGGUAUUUUCCUUUAAAACCACGAUUGCAACGAUUUUUUAUGUCGAAGCAUACGGCUGAACAUAUGAGGUGGCAUGCAGUUGAAUGUCCUAAAGAUGAGUUUAUGAGACAUCCUUCAGAUUCUCCAGCAUGGAAGCAUUUGGAUAAUUUAUAUCCGGAUUUUGCGUCAGAAAUUCGAAAUGUUCGAUUAGGGUUGGCCAGUGAUGGAUUUAAUCCUUUUGGAAAAAUGAGGAAUGAUCAUAGCACAUGGCCUGUGGUGCUUUCUGUUUACAAUUUGCCGCCUUGGAUGUGUAUGAAGCAACCAAAUUUUUUGUUGUCUCUUUUAAUACCAGGACCGCGCAGUCCUGUUAAAGAGAUUGAUGUAUACAUGCGUCCACUGAUUGACGAGUUGAAUGAGUUGUGGGAGGUGGGCACUUCAACUUAUGAUGCGUAUUCCAACCAAAGUUUUACGAUGAAGGCUGCUGUCUUAUGGACUAUAAGUGAUUUUCCGGCUUAUGGAAUGUUGUCAGGAUGGAGUACACAUGGCUAUAAAGCAUGUCCACAUUGCAUGCAUGAUAAAGAAUCCAUUUACUUGCCGGCGAGUCGUAAAAUUUGUUAUAUGGGACAUCGACGGUUUCUUGAAGAUAAUCAUAGGUUUCGAAGGCAAACCACAGCUUUUAAUGGUCGUCGAGAGCAUCGUAGUGCAUCAAGGCAGUGGACUGGUUUACAAUGUCUCGAAGAACUUUGUACAUUGAGAUUUACUUUUGGAAAACCAAAGAAAAAUGCUUCAGUUGGGCAACGCAGAAAAAGAACUUCGAGCAGUACAAGUGGUAACAGUCAGUGGAAGAAGAAAUCUAUUUUUUAUGAACUACCUUAUUGGAGGCAUCUGUUGAUUAGACACAAUCUUGAUGUUAUGCAUAUCGAGAAGAAUAUAUGUGACAGUGUGGUGGGAACAUUGCUAGGUAUAGAAAAGUCUAAAGAUGGAUUGGCUGCACGUGCAGAUCUUGAAGUCUUGAACAUAAGACGCAGUCAACACCCACGUAGAGAAGGAAAUAGAACAUUUCUACCUCCAGCUUUGUUCACGUUGAAAAGAGAAGAAAAAAAAACUGCGUUUUGCAAUGUGUUGUCUACUAUUCGGGUCCCCGAUGGAUAUUCAUCAAAUUUAUCGCGAUGUGUGCACGUGAAUGAACGAAAAAUACAUGGGUUGAAAAGUCAUGAUUGCCAUGUUUUUAAUGCAGCAGUUACUCGCGCUUGCAAUACGCCCGGUUUUGCCUAAAGCUGUUACUAUGGUAUUAUUAGAGUUGAGUGCAAUUUUCAGACAGUUGUGUAGUAAGAAGGAGUCUGAGGAAGGAUUCAAGGAACUGAGUUCAAGAAUUGCCUUGACAUUAUGUCAACUUGAAAAAAUAUUUCCUCCUGCAUUUUUUGAUAUAAUGGUGCACCUUCCAGUUCACUUGGCAGAUGAAGCAGCUCUUGCAGGGCCUGUUCCCUAUAGAUGGAUGUAUCCAAUUGAACGGUAAUUAAUAAUUUUUUAUAAAUUUUUUACAAUUGUAGUCAUAACUUUAAUUUAUAAUUAUAAUUGUUUGUGUUUCGUUUAUAAUUAUAGGUAUUUGCAAACGUUGAAGCGCUAUGUUCGUAAUAAGGGUCGUCCUGAAGGUUCUAUUGCUGAAAGCAUAUUUGGUGGAUGAGUGCUUGUCCUUCUGUUCCAUGUAUCUUAGAGGUGUCGAGUCUCGUCGUACCCGUAGAGGCCGAAAUGAAGAUGGUAUUGGACGUGGAGUGUCUGAUGGGUUAUCAAUUUUUGACUCCAAAUGAUGUUAUAUGGGUUCAGGAGAACAUGUGGAGCUCGAUCUAAAUGCUCUUGAUCAGUGCCAUAGAUACAUUCUAAAUAAUUGUGAUGAAGUGAACCCAUUUAGAAGGUAAGAACGUUUAAUCAUACGUUUUAAUGUUUUAUUGAUUUUCUUAACUUUGAAAAAUUAAUUAUCUAAAUUUGGACAUAAUUGUGUAGCCAACAUGAGGAAUUCUUGAAAACUAAACAUCGUUGAGAAAGGUUAACUAUGCGCCAAAUUAAGGAGCUAAGCAAGAAAGAAUUUCCAGAAUGGUUCAAGCAACAUGUGAGUUGAUAUAACAAUCACAUUAUUUAUUUAUUGUUUUGCAUUUUAAUUAUAACAUGUUAUAGUUAUUCUGUCAAUUUUUAUCUUCAUACUUAUUACAGAUGAAUUCAAGCUAUCAUGCUAAUGACACGUUGAUAUCUGAAGACUUGCAUUGGCUAGCUAAUUAUCCUAGUAGGGUUGUGAGUAGAUAUAAAAGUCACAUUGUUCAUAGGUUUAGAUUUCGUAUAAAAUCUGUGGAUGAUAAGCAUAAGAAUCAAAAUUGUGGUGUCUUUGUACCUGCAAAUGUUCCUGGAGCAAUUGGGCAAGUGAAUUGUUAUGGCAGAGUUGUUGAUAUGUUCGAGGUUAAAUAUUGUGGUCCUACUGAGGCGGGAGAUAGGGGUCGAGCUGUGAUGUUAUUUAAGUGCGAAUGGGUUAAUAGUGAAAGUCCACGAGGAAUGAAGACCGAUCAAUAUGGAUUUACUAUGGUGAAUUUCAAUCAAUUGGGAUUUAAAGAGGAUCCUUUCAUACUAGCAUCACAAGCAUUACAAGCAUUUUACGUGGAGGACACAAUUGAAAAAGAUUGGCACGUAGUUGUUCGAACUCAGCCGAGGGAUUUGUUUGACGUACUAGAGGAUAGUGAUGUUAUUGAUGAUUAUGCCAUACCGAAUUUGGAUGAUCGAAUUCUUGAUAAUGAAAAUUUUCAUACAAGGGUUGGCGUGGAAGAGACUCCUUUUCUUGAAUCAUUAGCGUUGCCUACCGAGUUCGUUAAUCAUGCCAAUGUCGACGAUGAGCUAACAGAUGAUGACGGAGAAUAAAUAUGUUAAUUAUUUUAUGUAUUAAUUAUACUAUCUUUCAUUUCGUAUGUUAUGAUAUCUUAUUAUCAAAAUUAUAUUUCUGUUUUUUUUUAUUAAGUAUUAUAUAUAUAAGUUAAACCUUUUUUUUUAAUAUUGGGUUAUAAUUUUUUUUUUUUUAGCUUGUUUCCUGUCGCUUUUAACCGACGUCGGUUUAAUUAAAAUAUUUUGGGCGGCACUAUUCCUGAUUUUUUUCAUUCAGUUAGCGUCGGUUUUAUUCGACGCAGACUGUCAGUUGGCGUCGGUUUUAACCGACGCAAUGAAGCUUAUUUCGACGCAACCAAAGAUUAUUUCGACGCAGACUGUCAUGUUACGUCGGUUGAAUCCGACGCAAUGUCAGUCUAUUUCGACACAAGAUAAAAACCUGUUGUGAAUUAUUUGUAUUAAUGCGAAGAAAGGAUGUUUAUUUUUUCUUAUUUACAGUUCACGAAAUUUUUUGAGCUCUUAAUUACACUAUUUUUCUUUUUAUUUAACAAUUUUAUACUUCUAAAAACUAUAAUAAUUAUAUAUAUAUAUAUAUUAUAUUCUUUUAUUUAACAAUUUUAUACCCCUAAAAAACGAUCGAUCUUCAAUUUGAAAUAUUUACACUAGUGGAUAUCACAAAAUCUUGUGUUAUACUUAAUGAAAGUAUGAAUAAACUCUUUAAGUGUUAGUGGAUGUAUCGUUUUGAUGGAAUACGAAUUCUACGAAACUAAUUUCAACGAUCGAACCGUCAAACAUGUUUGUAUAUAAUUCGAGAUCACAUACGCCAAAAAUUGCAAAAAAACAACUUUCUGAGACAAAGUAACGGGAAAAACUUAUUCGACGGUUAUUAACGAAAAAUCACGAUUUAACGGUUAUUUUAACUCCAAUUUUGAUGAUUUUUUAUAUGUACACUCCUUCACCCUAUAUGAAUAUGGUGAAUGAAUGGGAUCUUCAAUUUGAAAUAUUUACACUAGUGGAUAUCACAAAAUCUUGUGUUAUACCCAGAUUAAUACAAAUUGGUACGUUAUAUUUAAUAUUUGUGCAUGUUAUAUUUCAUAAUUGUAUGUUAAUAUGAUGUUUAUAUGUUUUUAUAAUUUAAUACAACAAAUUAUUUGCAUAAGAAAAAUUCAUUUUAAACGAAUAAUGAUAAGAUAAGAUUGGAUGUUUAUGGUGAUUUUAGAAUAUUUAUCAUACUAUUUUAUGAACUAGGUGAUCAAUUAUUUACAAUAAAAAUCAAAAUUUUAAUUAUAAAUUAACCGACAAUGUUUGAUCAAAAGUUUCAAAAUUAUAUAUGUUUGAUUAAAAAAAUUCAAAUAUAAGGCAUCUAUAUCAAAAUGAUCCUAAAAUUAUAUUUCUGUUUUUAUUAAGUAUUAUGUAUAAGUUAAAUUUUAUAUAUUAAAAUAUUAUAUGAAAUAACAUAACUGCUUAUUUUUUAAUUUUGGGUUUAACUAUUUUUUUUUUGUCUCCUGCGUUUCCAUUUUUUUUUAUAGUUAAACUCUUUUUUAUUUUUUUGUUGGGCGGGAAUUUUCCCGGUUUUUUUUGCACGGGGAAAUGGAUUGGAAGAUUGGACGUGCGAAGCAUCGAAAUAAUAAAUCGUUAACCGACGCCACUACUUAUUAUUUCGACGCAACCACUUAUUAUUUCGACGCAACAAUUAAUACGUCGGUUAAAACCGACGCAACCAGUUAUUGUUUUGACGCAGGCAUUUAUUAUUUCGAUGCCUCGGUUCAUUCGCACGUCCAAUUCCGAGGACAUUGCAAUUACUGUCUGUCAGAAUAACGUCGGUUCAAACCGACGCAAUUGUCCUCUAUUUCGACGCUAGGUAAAACUGUCAGACUAUAACGUCGGUUUUAAGCGACGCAAUAUGCCGCUAUUUCGACGCCUCGGUCCCAUUCACACGUCCAAUUCCGAGGCCACUGGAAUUACUGUCUGUCAGCAGAACGUCGGUUUAAAUCGACGUAAUUGUCCUCUAUUUCGACGCCAUAUUACCCUAUUUCGACGCUAGUCAAAAGUGUGUCAGAGGUUGUGUCGCUUUGAAGCGACGUAAUGGUUGCAUAUUUCGACGCUAAGUUUUUUGGCAUAUUUAAGCUUCUACGACCUAUUUCCGUCUCUCUCAUUUCACUCCCUUCACUCCCUCAUUUCACUCCCUCUCCUUCUCCAUCUUCUGUAUUCCUCAUUUCUUCCGUGAUUCCUUUGGUUUUGCUAUGGAUAGUAGUAGUGAUUCUCAACGUGAUGAGGAACUUCAUGUGGAAGAGGAGGAGGUCGAAGCUGGUUAUUUUUCUAUAUUAUUAUUAGAUUCUUUUUUUUUUUUUGGUGUUUAAUCUUCUAUUAUUCUUAUAAACUGAAAAUUUACAUCUGUUUCCAACUUUUUUGGUGUGUUUUAAUCGUGGUUUUUGUAUGAACAAGGAACAUCUCAACGGAGGCGAGGACCCUCAGUUCCCAAAUGGACGAAACAACUUUGUUCUUUUGAUAUGUCCGGAAAAUGCGUUAGUGAUAACUCUAGUGCAUUUUCAAAAUAUGUGGCAUCGGAGGUUAGAGACCACAGAAUUCUCCCAUUGGCGAAGCAUUGGCGUAAGAUUAAGGAUGUAGAUAAGGAAGCUUUCUGGAAUAGAAUUAAGGUAUAGGUAUUUUUUUUUUUUAGGCAUUGUUAUAUUAUUUGACUUGGUUGAUUUUUUUAAGCAUUGUUAUAAUAUUUGACUUGGCGUAAGAUUAAGCAUUGUUAUAAUAUUUGACUUGGUUGAUAUUUUUUUUUUUUUUUUAUGGAUGUAGGGAAAUAUUGUUUUUGAAGAUGCUGAUAUACCAAGAUUGCCUUUGAUCCGCUUUAUGACGCUUAAGGUUGCUGAGCAUGCACAUAAGGAGUUUAGAAAUAAGUUAAAAAAAAAGUAUUAUACGAACAGAGCUGCAGAGGAGCGUCGCCAGCCUCCUCCUGAUGUGAAUCCUACCCAGUGGGGUAAUUUGUUGGCAUACUGGAGUGGAGAUAAAACAAAGGUAAACGAUGUAGUUUAUUUCGUUAUAACUAUAAAUUUGUGUAAUAAUUUUUUUAUUUUUAUUUUCAGGAGGUUGCUGAAAAAAACAAGAUUAAUCGGCAAAAGAAAACAAUGAACCAUACUACUGGUACAAAAUCUUUUGCAAGAAAGCGGCAAGAAUAUGUAUGGAUUGUACAAUUUGAAGAAAUGUUAUUUUAAAUAUUCUAUAGUUAUAAAUUUUAAUUUUAACGAGGUUUGCCUAAAAUUGUUUGUGUGAAAUUUAUUUUUUGGUAAAGCGGAAGAAGAAGCAUGGGAAAGAAGCCGAUCCUGUAACCUUUUUUCGUGAAUGUCAUACACGAAAAAAUGAAACUUGGAUUGAUGAAGAAUCGGAGCGUACAUGGGUAAUUUAUUUUACUGUGUUGGUAUUUCAUUGUUAUUCAUUUUUAUUAUCUAUAGCUUAUUUUUCUGUUUUACGAUUGAAUUUUUAUUUUUAAAAAUUGUAAUGCUAGGCAACAAUGGAGAGCAGUCUGCAAACUUUGAUUCAGUCCGGGCAAGAGGAUAAUGAAGAUCUUAGGACCCAAGUGUAUGUUGAUACAAUGGGUCCUGAGAGGUAUAAUAGAGUCAGAGGAUACGGGCAUGGGGUGACUCCUGAUAUGGUGUCCUAUGCAUCUUCUUCGUCUUCUACAUCAAUUUCCUCCAAGAGGUCAUCUAACAGUGCAAUGGCAUUGCUGAUGACUCAAAAUAAUGAGUUGAAAUUGAGGGACGAAAAUAACAAUAAACGGAUUUCGGACCUAGAGAACAAGCAAAGUCAGAUGUUUGCGUGGCUUUUCCAAAGAUUUCAGCCACAACCACAACCACAACCACCGUUUAGCCCGGGAACCCAACAGUCAGGCCAGAGUCAGCCUCAUCCUCCUCAACAGUCGGGUCAAAGUCAGCCGCCCCCUGCAUAUCUGUAUGCUGGCUAUAAUCAGCAACCUCCGUAUCCUAUGUAUCCGAUGCCUAUGCAGCCCACGCCAUACAUGCAGCAGCCGCCUAUGCCAUACAUGCAGCAGCCUCCCAUGCCUUACAUGCAGGAGCCGCCUUAUCAAGUGCCAGUAUAUCGACCUGAGAUGGCUGCUCCUUGUCCUGAAUUUCCAGCUGGGGGGUUUGCUGAAAUGCUUGCGGGUGUUGGAUCUGAUGUGGACUUGUCGAGGAUGUUGGCAUCAAAUAUAGGACCUCAAGGACGAGAAGGAUCUGUGCCACGUUCAGGCGCAGAUUCGGUUCCGUAGUUUAUUUGGUUCGCUUUCUUGUCGGAUAAAUAUGACACUUUAAUCGUUCUAUCUUUUUUGUUUUUUUAUGUUAUGUUUGUAAUGUCGGAUUUAGUAGUUGUUAUGACGGAUGGGUUUUUAUAUAUUAAGUCGAACGUUAGAUGUACAAUAUUUGUGUAUUUUGGCACUAUUUUUAUCGUUAAUUAUUUUCAUUAAUGUAUGUACAAUAUUUGUGUAUUUUGGCACUAUUUUUUUUAUAAUUAUUUUCAUUAAUGUUUAUUUUGGCCUUGAAAUUUAUUAAUAUAAUUAUAUAAUUUUUUUCUGUUACAAUGAAUUGAAGAAGAAUGCGGUUUGUCUGGUUUUUUUAUUAUUAUUAACAAAGGUGGUGUCGGUUAAGACCGUUAUUCGUUUGCAUAUUUUAUUUAUUUAAUUGUUAUUUGACGUCGGUUUAUGGGAUAUUAAAUUGAUUUAAUAUUAUUUCAGUGUCGUUUAAAAGCGACAGUAGGAUUUAUAUUUUACAAUAAAUUGCUUAUGAACGUCGCCUUAAAGCGACGUAACGUGUAAGUAUGCGUCGCUUUAAAUCGACGUUAAUUUUAGUGUCGCUUUAGAGCGACGCUGCUUAGUGUCGGUUUAAGCCACGAAACCGACACUAAAGCCCUUUCGUGACGCUAGCAAUAGUGUCGCUUUGAAAAUGCGACAUUACAUUGUUUUAUGUCGCAUUUUUGCCAAAAUUGCGACAGAAAUCGGAUUUCUCGUCGGUUUUUGCUCCGACGGUGAUAGCAUAUAUUGUAGUGGUGAAAACUAAUUUUGUAGUAGUGUUUAUUCUUUUUAUUAAUCUAUUUUUUUUCAAAAUGUACAUGAUCGACUAGUCUUUGCAUGGCGGAAAGAAAUUUUUUUGUCGUCGCAGAUCAUAAUUAAUUGAAUGGAAAACUAACCAAAACACCCUCAAAACUUUACUUUUAAUCAUAAGGACAAAUUUUUUCAAAAAUGCCAAUCCUACCCUUCACACAUAUGUACAAGAUUGGGUCAGUUUCUGCAAAGUUCAAGUGGAUACAUCCAAAAGAAGAAAAAGGAGAUUGACAUUUUCAGAAAACAUUUGCAUGCAAAAGAAUAUGUGGCAAACAUGCAACAACCAAGACAAUACAGAUUCACAUGCAAAAGAAAAUGUGGCAAACACUGCAGCAACCAAGGCAACAUAAAUUCACAUGACAUUCAAGCAAAGACAAGAUAGCCAGCUUUCAGAAACAGUGCUAACAGUUUUCAGAAACAGUGUGCUGUCACUAUUCAGAAAAUUGUAAAUAGAUGAAAUGUUAUUUUGUCUUUGAAGAAUUAGAUUUUGUAUAUAAGGGAGUCUUUCCUCCCUUACAGAACACGUUUUUCUCAACAUCUGAAAACAUCAUACUCACUUCAUACACUCAAGCAUUCGUAGCCUUCAUAGCAUCCUUGUAAACACUUUUUUGUAAUCACUUUCUUGUAAACAACCAUCUCUGUAAACAUUCCAUAUAUCAAUAAAAGUUCAAGUGUACAUAUUCAAGCAAUCUCCAAGUCUUAAGUAAGUUUUCUUUUCCUUCUUUAGUGUGUUUGUUUAAUUAGACUUCUAGUCCAAAACAGGGAAACACUAUUGUGGUUAUAUUAUUAACCUGUUAAACUGACGAUCAUACUUUGUUCGAGCACUCUGUUAUAGUUGAAUGUUUUCCAUACAAAUAACUGGACAUCAACCAGGGUACCUCUGAGUUCUUCGUACCUCUGAGUUCAGCCGUUAAGGCCUUAUACUUGUACUGUGAGUGGCCGUCAUGCUGAAACAUGUCGAGUUCCAUGUGCAAGGUUCUAUGUCUAGUUGUUAUAAUGGUCAUCCGACUAUUUAACCGAGCAUGCGUUGCGAAUUUGGUAUCAGAGCCUAGUUUAACAUUUUAAUAGUAUAAUUAUAAUAGUAAAGUACCUUGAGGAUAGAAGUCGUAGAUACAACUGAUAUCAUAUUUGUUUAUUGUAUAUGAACAACAAAUAUUAUUGUCCCUGUAGACCCUGUCAACCACAAUUACCAGGUAUUUAUUGUCCCAGACAUCCAACUAUAACUAGCAUAAAGAGAAGAUUAACAUAUAUAUCCAAAAGAAUUAUUAGUACUUUGAAGAAGCAAAAGUUUGGUCUUGGAUAUCUUGAAUAUCCUUCAUUUAUUCGUAAAUAUAAUAACACAGAAUUGCAGUAUAAAGUUUUAGAAGCAAAAAGAACAACAGAUCAAGUUUUAGAGACAUUGAGAGAAGAAAGAGAGUUUUUAAGAAACCAGUUAGCCGUAACCCUAGAAAAAGGUAGACUAUAGUUUAUGAUAGAUUAUCUUAAUUUAAAAAUUAGUGAACCUCAAAAAAAAAAUAACUUUAGACCAAAAUAGUUUAGUUUGUUAUUUUCCAUCAAGAAAGCAUAAUCAUAUUUUGCACAGUGAAGAAAAUUCACAAGCCAAUACUAUUGUAGAUCUUAUUAUUAGUCAAGCAGAAAAUAUAAAAUUAGAAAAUAAUAAGCAUAAUCAUUUGUUAAAUCAGUUGUUAGAACAUUUCCAGAAAAACUCCAUAAAAAUAAUUAGACAAAAUUUAGACUAUAUUAUAUCUCAGUUAGAAGAUAAUAAUAGAAAUAUUCAAAGGUUUCCUAGCAAAAGAGAGAUAAAAGAGCUUGUUGAUCUUAUAGAUAGUAAGCCGAAGCAAGUAGAACUUAGAUCAUUAGAAAUAGUUGAACAUCUAAAAUCAGAAGUUCAAAAAAUUCAAUUAGUACAAAAAGAGUUAAGUGAACAAGUAGAUAAGUUGCAUAAUAAAAUAGAUAAGUUAUUAGUUUAAUGACAGAUUCUAGAACUAGCAGAAAAUAUAUUCAAGCUUUGAAAGAAAUUAGUAAAUUAGAUAAAGAACCAGUAGGAUUAACAGAUUUUUCAACACAAAUAUCCAGUAGUAAUAUUCCCAUUAGGCAAAAUAAUUUGAUUAUCCAAUUAGUUUUAAGUUUAGCUGAAAAAUUAGAUUAAGUUGAAGAACAAAUAGCAGAAAUAAACCAAGUUCUACAUAACGCAUCUUCAUCACUUCCACCAUCUUUGCUAUAUAAAUUAGAAAAUUUAACUUUGAGUGCAAAUAAUAAUAGAAGACCUAAGCUAAAUCCAUUUGAUAAUAGAAAAUGGAACUCUUUAGGAAAAAAGGAAAAGAAGUAGUUAGAGCGGAAGAUAUUUAUCCAAAUGAAGAAGAAGCACAAGAAUUCAUUCAAAGAGGUUUUGAGAGAACACAAAAAAAUAAAUAUAACUUUUAUCAAUUAGGUUUAUUUGAAAACAGAAGUAGAAUUGUAAGCAGCAUCAGUCAACAUAAAGUUAGCUGUAUUGAUAAAGAAGUCACACUUAAUCUAAUUAGUAAAGAAACAGUUACUCAUUUGAGAAAAUCACAUUUUAGUCAGAUUCAUAUAGGAACAAUAUUAAUUGGAAUAGCAGGAUUAACCAGAGCACAAGUAGGUACAAAAGCUUUAGUAUACAUAUACGAUGAUAGAUGGGAUAAUCACCAACAAGCAGCAAUAGCAACAGCUGAAGUAGACUUAAGUUCAAACUUAGCAGUUAUAGGUUGUAUUCCAAAUUAUGUUAUGACGAUUAAUGAAUUUAGUAAAUAUAUUAAAGUGAGCAUAAGAACAAAAAAUUAUAAUAUGAAAGGAGAGUAUAAAAAUUUGUGUAUUAGCCUAAUGUAUAUAGGUAAAGUGUCUGAUAGAUAUAAUCAUAAGUUUAAUUUAGAGUUUCAAAAUUUAGUUCAAACAUUUGGCAGUAAACAUGUAAAUAUGAUAGAAGCAAAACCCGUAGAUAAUAGCUUUUUAGAAGGAACUCAGUGGACAUUGCUUAAUUUACAAGUAGCACCAAAUAGACAACCAGAUAAAGUACAAAUAUAUGAAACUAGUACAGGUCAAGCAACAAUUAGGUUUAGUAAUUAUAAGCAACUAGAAAAAAUAGAAGAGGAUGAGAGUGAAAUUGAAAAUGAAAGUAUACAUAUGGCUUUUGAUAAUUUAGAUAUUAAUUUAGUUGAACAAAAUUUUGAUUAUAUUGUAGAUAAACUUAUAGAAGAUAUUGAUCAUUUAGAUGAAGAACAAUAUUUGGAAAAAUAUAAGACAUAUGAUUUAGGACUACAUAAAAUUUCAGACAAAGAAAUGAAAAUUAUAAUCUUAGAAAUAGGAGUAGAACACAUUUUAGGAUCAAAAGAAAAUAAUUUAUUAGAAUUGAAAGCAGAAUGUAAUCCAGCAGAAGAAAGUAGUACAUCAGGCGUAGAAAAUCCAGGACACGCAAGCAGAACAGAUCAACAAUUUUUAAGACCAACAAAUGAACAAUAUAAUGAAAAAGCAAAAGUAGACUAUAUGAAAGAAAGUAUGAUAAAACCUAGAAAAAAUAGGAUUCCAUAUUUGAGAGGGUUAGAACAAAUUAAUAUAGCUGGUAAUAUAUUAAAUUUAGAUAAUGUAGAUCCACAAGAUUGGGAAAGAACGAUUGAGAGAUGGGAAAAAGGCUGCGUACAUGCAGCAUUAAUGUUAGAUUUUAGUAAUUCACAAAACAUGUUAGAUUACUUUGAACAUACUUUGGAUGGUUUAGUUUUUUAUUAUUUCCAGUCAUGGAAAGUUCAAAAUCCAGAACAACAUCAGGCAGCUAAAACACAUUUUAAUAUUGAUGGUUUUGUUACUUUGAUUAAACAAGAGUUUUUAGAUCAUAAUAGGUUAGAUGGCAGAAGUGAACAAGAACAAAUAAGAGUAAUCAGAAAUUUAGAACAAUUACAAAUUUACGAUUUACAGUAUAUAGCUGAGUAUACCACAGAUUUCUUUAAAUAUUUAGGAAGAACAAGUAGAAUUAGUGAUAUUAAUUUAUUAGAUACUUAUAUGACAAAAAUAAAAGGACCAAUAGGUGAAAAGAUUUGGAAUGAAUGGCAAAAGCAUUCGAAAAAAAAUGAUAUUGUUAUAGGACCUAGAAUUCAACAUGUAUAUGAUAUAAUUAGACAAGAGUGUAGUCAAAUAAAGGCUAAGAGACAAAUCAGGAAGCAAUUUUACAUGAGUUGUAAAUAUAGAUUUACCACAACAGUAUGGUUGCCAUAAGAAAAAUAAGCAUAGGAAAAUAUACAAAAAGAAAUAUAAGUCAUAUAAACCCUACAAACAACAUAAGAAUUUCAGUAUAAGACCUUCAAGAACAUAUAGGAAGAGAAAAUAUAUUCCAAAACAAUUUAGAAAAGGAAGUUGUAGACCUUGGAUUAGGAAAUAUAAAGCACCAAAAGAUAAGAGUAGUUGUAAAUGUUAUUCAUGUGGAGAAGCUGGACAUAUUAGACCUAAAUGUCCAAAAUUAGGUAAACAGUCUAAAGAAAAAGUACAUUUGAUGGAGUUGUUUAAGUUAGAAGAAGAUGAGGAUAUUCAGUCAAUAUACAGUUUAGAUAAUUUAAGUGAUAAUAAGAGUAUUUAUAGUAUAGAGAGUAUUAACAUGAUAGAUUCAGAUUCGGAAGAUUCAAGUAGCACAAAUAGUGAUCUAGAAGAAUAUAUGUGUGCAUUCAUAGAAGAACAGCAUGAAGAAGAAUAUAAAUACAUUAUUUUAGGUUGGCCAGAAAAAUGUCAUAAGUGUAAUAAAUUAGUUGCAAAUAAAUACUACAAUACAUUCUCAAUAUUAUGUGAAAAAUGUUAUAGUAAUAGGUUAUUAGAAGUUAAUUCAGCAGAAUCUGAAAUAUUAGGAAAUAUUAUUCAUAGUAUAGAAAAACCAAAAAGUAGUUCAUUAAUCACUAUAAAUUGCGAAAUAGAAUCAGCAAAAAAACAUAAGAUACAAACCAUAGUUAUGAUAGAUACAGGAAGUACAAAGAGUGUCAUAAGAGAAGAGUUAGUACCAGAAAAAUAUAGACAAAAAUUAGCAAAACCAGUAAGAAUAACACAAUUUGAUGAGAGACCAGUUUACUUAACACAUUGUAUAAAUAAUGAGUUUAUUAAAGUAGAAAAACAACAAUUUAAUUUACCAUUAACAUUUGUCUCACCAGUAGGAUCAUAUCCAUUUAUUUUAGGAUUAAACUUUUUGAAAAGUUUGCAAGGUUUUUUAUUUAUGAACCCUAACAUAACAUUUUUCAAAAGAGGCAUUACAAUAACUGAUCAAAGUAAUACUGUAGAAGCAUACAAAAACAUAAGUAUAGAAGAGACUAAUGGCCAAGAUAGUUAUCAUUUAGAAAACUCAAAAUAAAAUGAUGAGCAUAAUAACGUAGAAGAGUUUGAUGAAGACAUUUUUUAACAUGAAUACCCGAUUUUAGAAGAAGGAACCUAUAUAAAAAUAUUACAGUUAGACAGACCAAAGAGUUUAGAAGAAUUGUUACAAUUAGCAGAACAAACUAGGAUUAUAGGAGAAGACCCACAGUUACAUUGGAGCAAAAAUAAAAUACUAGCAAAAUUAGAUAUAAUUAACCCAGAUUUAACCAUUAAGACGGCUGAUAUGCCUUGUAGUCUAAUAGAUAAACAAGAGUUUGAGCAGCAAAUAAAAGAGUUGUUAAAUUUAAAAGUAAUUAGACCAUCUAAGUCUAGACAUAGAUCAACAGCAUUUAUUGUAAGAAAACAUUCAGAAUUAAAAAGAGGUCAGGCUAGAAUAGUUUAUAAUUAUAAGAGAUUAAAUGAUAAUAUAUACGAAGAUAGUUAUAAAUUACCAAAUAAGGAUGAGCUUAUAAACAAAAUUCAAGAGAGUAAAUAUUUUAGCAAAUUUGAUUGUAAAUCAGGUUUUUGGCAAAUAAGAUUAGCAGAAGAAUCAAUUGAGUUGACAACCUUUACUUGUUUAGAAGGACAUUUUGAGUGGCUCGUUAUGCCAUUUGGACUUAAAAAUGCUCCAUCGAUCUUUCAAAGAAAGAUGGACCAAAUUUUCAAGAAAUAUGAUAAUUUCUGUAGUGUUUAUGUAGAUGAUAUUUUAGUACAUAGUAAAAAUAAAAAUAAACAUAUGAAGCAUUUAGAGAUAGUAUUACAAGAAUUUAUCAAUAAUGGAAUUGUAAUUAGCAAAAAUAAAAUAGCAUUAGAAAAGCAAGAUAUAGAAUUUUUAGGAAUGUAUAUCAAGUCAGGUACAAUCCAAUUACAAGAUCAUAUAGCUAAAAAGGUGUUAGAAUUUCCAGAUAAAUUAGAAGAUAAGAAACAGUUACAAGCAUUUUUAGGAUUGCUAAAUUAUGCAAGAAAUUUUAUCUCUGAUUUAGGAAGAAAAAUAGCAGUAUUACAUAGUAAAACUAGCAAAACGGGACAAAAAUAUUUUAAUAGUGAAGAUAUUAAAUUAGUUCAAAAAAUAAAAGAAGAAAUUACUAAACUUAAGCCAUUAACAUUACCAUUAGAUGAUAGUUACAAGAUAGUCGAAACAGAUGCUUCAUCAUUAGGAUGGGCAGGUAUAUUAUACCAGAAAAGGCAUAGGGAGUCUCCAAAGUCUGACGAACAAGUUUGUAGAUAUUCCUCAGGAAAGUUUAGUGAUGUACAGUCAAGAUUACCAUCAACAGAUUUAGAAAUUUUAGGGAUAAUUAAUUCACUUGAAGCAUUUUCUUUAUUUUUACAUAAUGAAGUAUUUACGAUUAGAACAGAUUGUCAAAAUAUAGUUUCUCAUUAUAACAAGAUACAUGCUAAUAAACAGGCAGCCCGAAGAUGGGUUAAUUUUGUUGAUUCAAUUACAGGAAAUGGUUUUAAACCAAUUUUUGAACAUAUAAAAGGUAAUGACAAUACAUUAGCUGAUAUCUUAUCAAGAUUAAUUUGUUGAACAGAUAUGGAAUAUCGGGUACCAUCAUCAGCAAAUAGCACAAGGCCGCAAGGCAGAAGAGUUUCUUUCAAUGGCAUGAUGAUGCACCAUCAACCUCCACCAUUCAGUGGAUUUCAAAAUAGCAUGAGCAGACCAGCAUCACCACCAGUACCCACGUUCAACUUUAAUGGCAAUAUUGUUAAAGGAAUCAGAAAUCCAACUCUGAGAUACAGGUCAAGGGUACCGGGGCUUUCUGAUAGGCAGCAUGUUCUCUUAGAUAAUUUCUGGAAUAUCCAAAUUAAGCAGCCAAGCAUGAGGUUAGGUUAUGAAAAAUUAAUUAGAGCCUUGGAACAAGAGUUUGAUAGCUUUAAUUUUAAUUUCCACCAAAACCAGCAGCAUAUUCAUUCUCUUGAGCACAAUCUUCAAGCCAUUUCUAGGGACCAUGAGUCAUUACUUGGUAAGUUUACAAAAAUGAACCAAGAACUCCAAUCUCUUAUAAUGCAGUAAAAGGCAAAUGAUACCUUGAAAGAGAAUUAAAAAUAGGUUUAGAGAUUGAUCAGCAUAAGAAUAAAGGAAAAGAGGUUAUUGAACCCAUAGAACAAGAGGCUAAUGAGCCCAUAUAAGAAAUUAAGAUUGAGCUCUUAGAAGAAGACGUUGAAAUGGAGCAACAUCAAAGUAAUGAUCAGCAUCAGGUUCUGAGUGACAAAGAAAAACAAGAAAAAUAUGAAAGUUUUCUUAGGAAUAUAUCUUCAGACUUAAUAUUAGACGAUGUUUUAUUAGAAGAAAUUUCAAAAGCAAAACUGAGAAUAAUGCCAACAGAUAUGCAAAAUGAGAUCCUGAGCAGAGCAUCACAGUCCAUGAAAGAGUUACAAUUACAAUUACAAUGCGCCUUGUAUCAGUCCAUCUUUGAUCCAAAACCAGGGAUGUAUAUUAUUACAAAGAUGUAUCAUCCAUGUCUUUGUGAUAGUACAGAGAAUUGUAUUUGUAAACCAGAGGUUAGCGUAGCUGUGGCCAGGAUUGACAUGAGAGAUUUUAAAUCAUGGCAUUUUAGUUAUGAGCAUCAGAAAAAGCAUAAUGAGGUAGAAAUUACCCCUGCCUUACUAUUAGAGUUUGGUUAUCUCGAUAAAAUAUUUAUUAAUCGUAUUUCUCAACUAGAAUCAUUUCCUGAAAAGCUUAUUAAAGUACCAGAAUACUAUCUAGAAAGGUGGAAAGAAAUUUGCAUAAGUUUUAUUAGUAGUCAUCCAGAUUGGUAUGUACACAUGCAUAAGGAGAAAGCUAGGCAUAUAGCCAUGAUCAAUGAAGAGUCCUUUAGACUAAACCAUAUCUCCUCACAUAGGUGGACUCCUUCAUACAAAGAUAUUUUAAAAUUUAGAGGGAUCCAAAUGUUUUCUUUAGAUGAGUUUGAAGAUUUUAGGUAUGAUAUGGUACUAGUAGCAGAAGAAGAAGAGAUGUAUAUUUACAGCAAGACAAGAAUCAGUCAUCAGCCUUAUUAGAAGCCCCAAAAUUUCAAAGAAGAAACAGCGGAAAUAUAUUACAAGGUGAAAGAAGAUAGAGAAAGAGAUGCGGAGCUAGUAGAAGGUGAUGAACAGUAUUGGAAUAAUUUGUCAGAAGAAGAGCUGCAUAACAUCGACAACAUGAUGGAAGCCUGAAGAACUAGAUGUAAAUUAGCAUAAGAUGAAUAGCAUCAAAAUGUAUUUCCAGACAUAAAUGUCAACAUCGUUGUGGUCUGCAUGUAAUGACAUAAGAGUAAAUAAAGAGAAGAGUUUGAUCUAUUAUAGACUUUUCAUACAUAAAAUGUCCUUAUAGUUAAGAAUGAAUAGUACCAAACCCUUUUCGUUAAAACUCCCUUAAUUGAAAGCUUUAAAAUAAUUAGACCCCCAUCAAAAAUAAUCCUAAACCCUAGCUGGCCGUCGGGGAAUAUUAAUAAUUGACUGAAAAGCUUUAAAAUCAUCCCCACAAAAAAAAGAUUAUAUUAAACCCUAGUUGGCUAAACUAAUUAAUUGAAACUAGGUGGUGGGCGACGUGAGGAAUAAUAUUAAGUGUAAUUAACGUGCGUUUGGGACCCGAAAGGAAAGAAGAAGCUACAGCAACUGAGUUGACUCACUUAGAAGUCUCAAGCACAGUCUGAAAGGAUUGAAAGUUAGCUAGAUGAGGAAGAGAACUCAUGAAAUUAAGAUGGGAGAAAACUCAUACUUUCUCAAAACAAUUAUUUUUAUAUUCGCCCAAAAAUAAUUAUUUUAUAUAUGUGGAUAACAUGAUUGAUAUGUCUAAAUUGUGAUGUAUAUUAAAAAAAUGGUUGUACUAUCUACACACUAUUUUUUACUUCUCACACACCCCUUAUUAAUUUAUGUCAUUUGAUUUUCUUCAGUUCAAUUGAUUUGAUGGCUACAAAUUAAGAGGAUGUGUAUGAAGUAAAAAUGGGUGUAUGGAUAUCACACCCCUAAAAAAAUAGUGUUAUUAUUUGAAUAGAAUAAAAACACCACGUAACAAUGUUUUAGAUUUAAAAAAAAACAAAAAACAAAAAAACUUGUCAUAUAUCUCGUGAUCUCAUCCGAAUAUAAAUAACUUAUGAAUAUGAACUGCCACCAAUAUGAUCUCUACCUCUACCUGGUCAAAGUUAAUUAGUAAACUAUAUAUAAGAAUUUUGUGAGAAAAUAAAUUAAGGAGAUUUGAAAGAAUAAUUGACAAGUUGAAUAAUUAUUAUUUUGAUUUUGAAACAUAAGUUCAUGUAAUUUUCAAAAGUUCAAAACAGGCCAAGUUGAAUUUCAGUUGAGUUAGCUGAGAUUUUUUUUUAAUUUAUUUUUUUAAUUUUUAAUUUUUGUGUUUUUAAGGAACGGUGUGAUUUUUUAAUGUGUCACAGGUAAAGAACAGUUGAAUAGUACAUACAUGCGCUCCCACUAAAUAUUAACCCAAUCAUAUUGGUAUAAAAACCUCAAGUAAAUGGGGUCAUUUUUUUUUCUUUUUUAUGGUAGAACAAGCAAAUAGGUUUUCCACUUAUUCAGAUCGUUGCAUUGCUCGUUUCCGCUGGUUUUCUACUCUUCUUCUGUCUUGAAGCUCAAUUUGGUUUUGUUUUCCAGCAUUCUGUUUGCCAAAUAUGAACAGGAUUCAAGCAGUCCAAUCAAACUAUUCAAUAAGGCCGAAUCUUCUAUUUAGAUUUUCUCUGCUAAAAUUUGCUCGUCAGUUACUGUGAACACGGAAAAUUCCUGAAACGAAAGAGACAAGAACGACGCGCACAAACAAAUAUUUGUAUUUGAUGAUUUUGGGUUACAAUCUCUCUCUAUUUUGAUCCUCUGAUUCGAUCUCCGUAAGGUGUGUAUUUGUGGAUGUGCGAUUGAUCCAAAAGGGCCGUUGGGCUUGAUCUAAGGAUGAACGUUCUUCAAGGGCCGUGGACUUGAUCUUGAAGGUGGAUUUGAGCGGAUCUUCAAAGGGGCUUUUGGGCUUGAUCUUUGAAGAACAAUGAUGAACGGGUCUCCAAGGGCUUUUGGGCUUGAUCUUGAAGAACAGUGAUGAACGGAUCUUCAAGGGCUUUUGGGCUUGCUCUUGAAGAACGGUUGGAUGUGUGGAUUUGUCGACGUUGUUGAUCCAAAGGGCCGUUGGGGCUUGAUCUUGGAUGAACGGAUGAUGAACGAUGGUGCUUUCUUCAAGGGCCGUUGGGGCUUGAUCUUGAAUUGGUGGAUGAUUGUUGAUCCAAAGGGCCGUUGGGGCUUGAUCUUGGAAGAACGAUGAACGAAGAACGAAGAACGCUUUCUUCAAGGGCCGUCGGGGCUUGAUCUUGAAGGUGGAUGAUUGUUGAUCCAAGGGCCGUCGAGGCUUGAUCUUGGAAGAACGAUGAACGAAGAACGAAGAACACUUUCUUGAUUCUUCGGGAACCUGGAUGCUUGAGAGCUUCGGAGUUUCAAAGCUUCAGAGCUUCAAGGUGUAAUAUGAAUUGGUUUUCAAAUGAAUGAAAUUGGGCUUGUAUUUAUAGAAUUUUCCAAGGCCUAAUUUUGAAUAUAAUAUUCCAGAUGAAAUAAGUCGUUUCUGCCAGGUAUUGACACGUGUCCUAUUUGAUGACUUUUCCAACUCAUUUCAAUUUUCGUUGAGUCACAUGCUACGUGUAAAAUUUAUGUAAUACAUGAGCGUUGACACUUUGAUUUAUCGGUCAACAUUUAUUUACCGAAAUUUCGAUGUCUACAAAUGCCCCCACUUCAAGGCACGUCGUAUACAUGUGCUUGUCACGUGUAGGAGAUGCGUUUUGAAGUCCCUUACUGUAGAUGUCGAUCCAAGGGCCGUCGAGGCUUGAUCUUGAAUUGGGCUGGAGAUUUCUUCAAGGGCCGUUGAGGCUUGAUCUUGAAUUGGGCUUGAGAUUUUUUUCAAGGGCCGUUGAGGCUUGUUCUUGAACUUUUGUUUGAAAUUUCUUCAAGGGCCGUCGAGACUUGAUCUUGAAGGUUGAAAUUGGACCACAAGGAGCUUCAUGUGGUAGAUGAUUUUUUGCUUUGGUAGUGGACGAAUCGGCACGUAUUUUGUUGCGCUUGUUGACCUUCCACAGCUUUGAUCUUGAACUGGGUUGGAGGUUUUUUUCUAGAUUCCUCCAAUUGUUGAUUUUCCACAGCUUAUUCUUGAACUAGGUUUUGAUUCAAGGGUGGUAGACACUUGAUCUUGAAUCAGACUUGUGAUUUCUUCCAGGGCCGUCGAGGCUUGAUUUUGAAUUUGGCUGAAAGCUUCUUCAAGGGCCGUUAGGCUUGAUUCUUGAAGGUUGACUUGAACAUAUGGCAAGCAGGCACGAGGUGAAGGUGACGACUUGUUGUUUUGUUCCAUCUUUCUAAUUCACACCUGAGCAGUUUGGUCAGCGGUAUGAUCUUCAAGAUUGAUGGGCUCUUCUUCCAGUUGGUGACUUGAUCUUUAAGGAUUUGAUUCAAGGGUGGUGAAUCAACACGUGCAGCCUGCAACGCCUAGUAAGUCGACCCAAGAAUUUGAGGGUUAAAACGAGUUCACCGUCCAGAGUGAUUGCAACUUUGAUGAUAUGAGAUACUUUUGAUUUUGAAGAAGUAGCGGAUGAAUCGGCACGUGCUUUGUGCUUGUCUUCACAUGCUUCAAUGUAUCAUUUCCCUUGCCUUAUCUAUUCUUCUGGCAGAAUGUGGCAUAUGCUCGAGUUCCUCAGUUCGGACUCCUUCUGCUGAGUUGACUGUGCAUGCUGCAUUCUUCUCUGCUUGUUCUUUCUGCACGUUGUCUCCACAUGCUGCAAGGUAUCAUUUUCACUUGCCUUAUCUGUUCUCCAGGCAGAUGUGACAGCUUCUAUGGAAGUACAGCAGCAGUGGGAGACGAGUACUCGAGAGCAGUGCUAGGCAGGCAAUCAGGGAAGGGUUCCAAGCAGUCGGUUCCUUACCCGAGUUUGAGUGGAAGUUCCGGCAUAUUGUUUUCUUUAUCCUUGUCUUUGUAGGUAGGAGCAAGGACAAAGGAAACGACAGGGAGAACGCAUGAUAUGAGAUACUCUUGCUUUCUACCCUGGUGAUAUGAGAUACUUUUGCUUUGAAGUUAUUGGCUUACAGAGGUACCCCAAGGAAUAAGGAACACUAAGUGACUCGAGAGGCUUCGUUGGGAAGGCAUUCUCGGAGAUGAAGAAAGGUUUUGUAUGUCUGCCUUGCUAUGGAAGGUGAAGGUGGACAGUUAUAGGAGGUCCCUUAAUACCUGUAGAGGUACUAUUCUUUCACUUGUGUCGGCAACUAACGCGUGAUUGAACAGUAAACUUUCACGUGCUUUCUCCUUCACCGAAAAUCUUCGACAAAUUGCCCGUGAUUUGCGCAAAGUUGAGUGUGCAUAUGACAGGUGAUGACGCGGAUGAAAAAGACUGGCGCCACUUUGAUAUCUGGGAUCGGCGCUUCGACAAAUUACCCGUGAUUUCCGCAAAGCUGAGUUUGCGUGUGACUGGUGCCGACACGUCUGGAAAAGCAAGAUGCUUCUCCGAUUUCUGAGCUUGCCUCUUCGAUUUUUGAAUGGCCUCUUCGAAUUCUGAGCUCGCCUCUUCGAUCUCUGAAAUCCCGUCGAGUGCUGAUUUUUUAUAGAGGCAAGCAGUUCAUUUCAAAGCACACUUGAAUUUUUGCUUGUACCUUCUUGCACUUCUAAGAUCUCGAUUUGUCCGACCUCUUCUUUCUUUAGCACCUUUGAAAAUGUCUGGCCCCUCCGAUCGUCGUUUUGACUUGAAUCUUGGUGAAGAGGCAGUCCCUUCUUCUCCAGACAACAUAUGGCGCCCAUCCUUCAUAUCCCCCACUGGUCCUCUUACCGUUGGGGAUUCAGUGGUGAAGAAUGAUAUGACUGCUGCGGUGGUGGCCCGGAACCUUGUCACUCCCAGAGAUAACAGACUACUUUCCAAACGGUCUGAUGAGUUGGCUGUUAAGGAUUCUCUGGCUCUCAGUGUGCAGUGUGCAGGUUCUGUGUCUAAUAUGGCCCAACGCCUAUUUGCUCGAACCCGUCAAGUUGAAUCAUUGGCGGCUGAAGUGAUGAGUCUCAAACAGGAGAUUAGAGAGCUCAAGCAGGAGAACAAACAGUUGCAUAAGCUCGCACAUAGCUAUGCCACAAACAUGAAGAGGAAAAUUGACCAGAUGCAGGAAUCUGAUGGUCAGAUUUUACUUGAUCAUCGGAGGUUUGUGGGUUUAUUCCAACAACAUUUGCCUUCGUCUUCUGGGGCUGUACCGCGUAAUGAAGCUCCAAAUGAUCAACCCUUGGCUCCUCUUCUUCCUGGAGUUCCGCCGAGUGGUGAGGCUUCAAACAGUCAACCUCCAGCGCCUCUUAUUUCUGGCGCUCUGCCGAGUGGUGAGGCGGCACCUGAUCGUCCUUGAAGAUCCCCUCUUGUAAAUUUGAUUUGAUUUGAUUUUUUUUUUUUUUUUUUUUUUUUUUUUGUAUGUAUGUACAAUGCAAAUUUAUGUAAAAAUUUCUAGAAAUAAAAUGGACUUUUAUUUCUCUUAAUACAUUUGUUCCUUUUUUUUUUCUUUUUUUUUUUUGCACAUGGUGCCAGAUGCACCAUAACUCUUUAAAUAUAUUAUUUGUUUUAUUUAUUAUAUAUAUAUAUAUAUAUAUUUUUUUUUUGCCUUUAAUUAUGGUGACAGCUGCACCCCUUCCCCUUUCUUCAUAUGGUGCCAGACGCACCAUGUUCCUUCAUCAUCUUUUUAUUAUUUUAUUAUAUAUUUUUUUUCUUUAAUUAUGGUGCAGUGUUCCACCAUCCCAUUUUUUAAUAUUUUUUUUUUUGUAUAAAUUUUGAUGAUGGGAUGGGGAAUUUGCAGGGAGGACGAAGACGACGUAGAGUUGGAGUCGAGGCUUCAUGACUGGCUAGUCGUUUGACGGCGGUUAUUGAGGUUCUUCGCCAUUGCUGUUUGCCACUGCCACUGCACCACCAUUGCACCGCCACUGCAUUCUUGUUGCCCUGCACCGCCGCCAUUGCACAGCGACUACACAACCAUUGCACUGCCGUUGCUGUUUUCCUGCGAAGAUGAGGACACACCGUUGCCUAAGGACGAGCCGAGAUGUUUUUGUGCCAUGCAGAGGGUGACCCUUGGAUCCUGCACAGAGCUUAAGCAGCAGCAGCUGUAGCAGGCGGGUGGGGAUGUUCAAGCGAACCAGUCGUCGCUGCUGCCGUCACGAGGACCCAACCGUCGCUGCUGCGGUAGUUGCCGACGAUUCGAUCUUCCAUUCAUAGCCUCAACUCCGUCACGGAGGAGGACGUCGCCGCCGCUAAUGAAAAUCACCAAGUGUUCAUAGCCUUAGCACUUGUUCUUUCGCUGCAACUUUAGGCUUCGCCGGAGCUGCUGCUUUCUUCUUGGAAGCGCUGCCAUUAUUUUUCUCGUGAUGAGCAGUACUCAUACUCGUCCUUCUCGAGCUUCUGGUUCCAGUGAUCACGGGGUUGUCUUUGGCUUUAGCAGCAGUAGCAGCACUCUUUACUAGUACUGAACUGCCAUGCUUUUCAGCUGCUGCAUGAUCAUCAGAAGAGGCCUUGGUGGCGUCCGGCAAAACGUCGUCGUUUGCCGCUUGUUUGCUGUCGGUGGGAGCCGGCGGGUACAGCCUCAUGUUCUCGCACAGCGCCGCGUGGGUGUACACCAUCUCCUUCACCUCGUCGUAAACUCCUCCCGCUACUGACUCAGACGACGCCGUUUCGUUGAUCUGCCUCAAGAUCUCGUUUUCUACACAUGGGUUCUGCGAGAGAAGCCAGAAGGACCAGGUUAGAGCCGCCGAUGUGGUGUCCCGGCCUGCGAGGGUGAAGCUGAUGACGAUGUCGGUGACGAACUUUGCGUCGGUGUGGCUAGAGCUCAAGAACCGGGAGAGCAGAUCUACAGAUUCCAACACCUUCGCCUCGCUCAGAUCCCGCUUCUUUUCUCUGACAAUGGCUUUCGCGAACUCGGGGACUUCUGAUACGACGGCACGGAGGCGCUUUUCGGACUCGAUUCCGAGAGCCCUUUUGAGUUUCCAUAUUGGGUGCAGCAAUCUGAGCCUGUCGCUGCUGAUUUGCACGGCUUCGUCGAAAGCCACUGCGAAUUUGGCUUCGGGCAGAGAGGGCAGGAGGUAAUCCGGGUCGUACCCGAAAGCAAUUCGACAGAUGUUGUCGAAACCGAAGCGCUGAAGAAUGUCUUGGAAGUCCAGGACUGAACUGCUGGCGGCGGAGACGGAGAGAAUUGGAAUAAGGCGGUCGGAAAGCUCGGUGUCGACCACCUGUUCGACAAAUUUACGCAGAGACUUGGUGUUGAACUCGUGGCUGGAGACUUGGCGCUGGAACUUCCAGUUAUCUCCAUCGGCGUUGAAAAUGCCGUCGCCGAAGAGGUCGGCGAGGGUGGUGCGGAAGGUCUCGCCUUUUUGGUAGUUGGGGAAGUUGGUCUUCAGGAUGUGCUGGACAAUGUGGGAUUGGCGGAGACGACGAAGCGGCGGCCGAGAGAGUGGUGGAGAGUGAAGGUGUUUGAUGGGGAGUUGAUAAGGAACUGAUCUUCUGGCCUUUGUUGCCGAGCUACAGGUCGUAUCGCCGGUGCGGACCCGUCUCCAGUAGCCAAGGUGAUGGUGUUGCUGCAAGUCGAAGGCACGGAUGGAGGAGAAAACUCGGAUUGGAGCUUUGAGAGCUGGGCCUGAGCUUUGUUGGGCUCAUGGUUUGGGUCUGAGGAGACGGGCCUGAUUUUGUAGCUGGGCUCAGACAUGUAUAUAUAUAUAUAUACAUUUUUUUUUUCUUUUUUAGAUAACAUAUGUAUUAUUAUUAUUAUUUUUUUAAAAGAAACUGUAAUUUAAUUUGUACAAAGAAAACUGCAAGUAAUUUUGUAAUAAAAUUGACCUUCACUAAUGAGACUUUAAUCAAAUCCUUUUUUUUUUUUUUUUUUUUUUGAUGUGACUGAACUCGAAAUCGAAUGCUGGAGCUGCCUACGUACCCUUCCAAAGAAAGAGAUCAAGUCAAAACGUAGUUCAAAUACAUUUUUUUUUUUUUUUUGGUAUUUUCUUUUUGUGCCGUUUGCAGUUUUAACUCGUGCAGGCAAGGAGCUUUGGGUUGUCGCCUUUUAGGCUCGUGCAGACCAGGAGCAUUGGUGUUGCCUUUUAUGCUCGUGCAGACCAGGAGCAUUUGGUGCCGUGUUGCAGUUUCAGCUCGUGCAGGCAAAGAGCGUUGGGUUGUCACCUUUUAGGCUCGUGCAGACCAGGAGCAUUGGUGUUGCCUUUUAUGCUCGUGCAGACCAGGAGCAUUGGUGUUGCCUUUUAUGCUCGUGCAGACCAGGAGCAUUUGGUGCCGUGUUGCAGUUUCAGCUCGUGCAGGCAAGGAGCGUUGGGGUUGCCUUUUAUGCUCGUGCAGACCAGGAGCGUUGAUGUUGCCUUUUAUGCUCGUGCAGACCAGGAGUUUUGUGCCAUGCAGUUUAGACUCGUGCGGACAAGGAGCAUUUGUGAAUUUUGUCAAGCAAUCCGGAAGAGGCGUUCCUCACAAUUUUCAUAGCAAUGAGCUUUGACCGCGUGAUUGAAGAAGUCUUCGGGCAAGAAGUCGCGCAUCGUGAUGGGGACGGACGAUCUUCGUGUCGAAGUUUCAUCAUCUUCAACACGUUCACGUUGUUUUGAAGGUUGACAAGAGCUGCUUUGCCCCCUUUCCGAUUGGCGGACUUGUGGAUGAGACGUAUGCUUCUUGUGCAAUUUCUUAGGAGUGACUUGAGCCCAUCCUUUAACUUCGCUUGACUUGGAGCAUGCCCCCAGCGGUUGAGGUGAAAACUUCGAGUCGGAAGAGCCAGAAGUGAAGGUGGUAUAGUUUGACUUCACCACAUCGUCAAGAUCUAGCUCGAUGAUUCCUUUCUGAGCCAGCUUCAUGAUGAGAUCUUUCAGCACGAAGCAUUUUUCUGUCGAAUGACUGAUGAAGCGGUGGAAUUUACAGUAUCUUGGACUGUCGGUACGAUUCAUCUCUUCCGGCCGUCUGCACUCAGGCAAACUGAUCACCUUCUUGUCCAACAGGUCAUCUAGCAUGGCAACCACAUCAGAGUCGGGGAAUGGAUAAGUCUUCUCCUCAAGCUCCUUCAAAGUGCGUCUACGCGUCUCUUGAUCACGAAAAGCUUCGGUUUGAAUCGCCUUGCCUCGUGUGGAUAUUUUGACGGGAGAUGUGUUGACCGUCAUCGCUUCUUUGGUGGGUUUCCAUGCAGCCUUUUCCACCUUUGUCCCAAGAGCUUUGUCGUUCUUGUAGUCGGCGAUCGGUUCUUUCUUCCCAUGAUGGGCGAUGCUCAACUCCAUGUCAUGGGCGCGAGUGGCCAAUUCCUCGAAGGUCCGUGGUUUAAUGCCUUGAAGGAUGUAUUGCAAACCCCAUUGCAUACCUUGGAUGCACAUCUCGAUUGAAGAGGUUUCCGAGAGCCUGUCUUUACAGUCGAGGCUUAGAGUGCGCCAUCUGUUGAUGUAGUCAAUGACUGGCUCGUCUUUCCACUGCUUUGUGCUCGUUAGCUCUAGCAUGCUCACAGUGCGGCGAGUGCUGUAGAAGCGGUUGAGGAAUUCCCGCUCCAAUUGCUCCCAACUGUUGAUGGACUCAGGCUCUAGGUCCGUGUACCAUUCAAAGGCGUUUCCUUUUAGCGAGCGCACAAACUGCUUGGCGAGGUAGUCCCCUUCGGUUCCUGCGUUGUUGCAAGUUUCAACAAAGUGGGCAACGUGCUGUUUUGGGUUUCCCUUUCCAUCAAAUUGCAUGAACUUUGGUGGUUGAUAACCCCUCGGCAUCCUUAAGGCGUCGAUCUUCUUUGAAUACGGCUUUGAGUACAACCCGGAGGUAUUUGAGCUCCCUUCGUACUGUGCCUUGAUGGUGUUGGUGAUCAUCUCUUGCAGCUGCUGGAUAGAAAGAGAUCCCAUGAGUGCCGCUGCUUGGUCUGGCUCCGGCUUCCCAUCGAUUUUCUUCACCGGGGGUUCUUCGUCUCCGCCAGCUCCUCCCUUUAGUGGAUCAUCCUCUGGGUCGGGUUUAUCGCUGUCCUGCGCCUCCAGUCGGUUGACUAGUGCUGCAAUUUGCAAGUCUUUUUCUUCCACAGUUCGGGUUAGCCUUGCGAUUGCUUCAUUCAUUUGAGCCAGCUGCUCAUCGAUUGAAGUUGCUCCAAUGGUCAUGACUUGCAUGGCUGAACUGUCGCUUGAAUCGGCAUCGGAGAGCAUGGAUUCAGAGUAUUUCCUUGGGCUUUCCCCCCUUGGUGCCCUUAGUGAGGCUAAGGUGAUCAAGGGCUCGUGCCUUGGGUGCUUUUGUUCCCUUGGCAGAGUUGAUGCAGAGGUGAAAGAGGCGGCAGAAGUAGCUCUUGCCAUGCUUCGAGUCGUGAUGCCCAAAGUGACACCAGUUGCGACGAGGACGCUUUUGUUCUUUGCGCCGGUUGCGGGAACAGUUUGAGCCUUCCUUGAUGCCAUUAAUUUUGGAAGUGCGCUUGAAUUUCUUGAACGGAGAAAGAGAUGAGAGGCAGAGAUUGUCCCACUGGGCGUGCCAAUUUGUGAACACGGAAAAUUCCUGAAACGAAAGAGACAAGAACGACGCGCACAAACAAAUAUUUGUAUUUGAUGAUUUUGGGUUACAAUCUCUCUCUAUUUUGAUCCUCUGAUUCGAUCUCCGUAAGGUGUGUAUUUGUGGAUGUGCGAUUGAUCCAAAAGGGCCGUUGGGCUUGAUCUAAGGAUGAACGUUCUUCAAGGGCCGUGGACUUGAUCUUGAAGGUGGAUUUGAGCGGAUCUUCAAAGGGGCUUUUGGGCUUGAUCUUUGAAGAACAGUGAUGAACGGGUCUCCAAGGGCUUUUGGGCUUGAUCUUGAAGAACAGUGAUGAACGGAUCUUCAAGGGCUUUUGGGCUUGCUCUUGAAGAACGGUUGGAUGUGUGGAUUUGUCGACGUUGUUGAUCCAAAGGGCCGUUGGGGCUUGAUCUUGGAUGAACGGAUGAUGAACGAUGGUGCUUUCUUCAAGGGCCGUUGGGGGCUUGAUCUUGAAUUGGUGGAUGAUUGUUGAUCCAAAGGGCCGUUGGGGCUUGAUCUUGGAAGAACGAUGAACGAAGAACGAAGAACGCUUUCUUCAAGGGCCGUCGGGGCUUGAUCUUGAAGGUGGAUGAUUGUUGAUCCAAGGGCCGUCGAGGCUUGAUCUUGGAAGAACGAUGAACGAAGAACGAAGAAACACUUUCUUGAUUCUUCGGGAACCUGGAUGCUUGAGAGCUUCGGAGUUUCAAAGCUUCAGAGCUUCAAGGUGUAAUAUGAAUUGGUUUUCAAAUGAAUGAAAUUGGGCUUGUAUUUAUAGAAUUUUCCAAGGCCUAAUUUUGAAUAUAAUAUUCCAGAUGAAAUAAGUCGUUUCUGCCAGGUAUUGACACGUGUCCUAUUUGAUGACUUUUCCAACUCAUUUCAAUUUUCGUUGAGUCACAUGCUACGUGUAAAAUUUAUGUAAUACAUGAGCGUUGACACUUUGAUUUAUCGGUCAACAUUUAUUUACCGAAAUUUCGAUGUCUACAGUUACUAGUUGAUGUUCCGAACAAAAAAUUUAAGCAUUCGGUCGUUAAUGACUAUUUGGUCUAGUGACUACUGGUCUUAGGGCUGUGAGGCUGCUUGCAAGUGUACACAUCCCGGAAAUUACUUUGGCAGAGAGGAUGCUAUGUGUGCUUGACCAGACUUACUUCCAUGCAUUCCUUUUUGGUCUUUUUAUACAAAAAAGUGGACAAAUUGAUAACCUACCAACUAGAUUAGGUACGCAGGAGGAUACAGACGUGUUAAACAAUCUCUAGCUAGAAUGAUAUGAGUCCCCGUUUGUCAAUAUUUAUACAUAUAAUUAUAGUUUAUGUAGACAUAUACAGAUUUAUUUCAAUAAUGAUUAAGAAUUUCACAUUCAAGAGUUUUUUAAUAUGGACAUGUGUAUAGAUGGUUAUUGAAAACAUUGAGUUAAUAGUUUCAAAGUGUCUAAAAUCGACCAAAAAUCAUGUUUCAAGUCAUCAUUCACAUAUUAACUUUGUAAAAAUUCAUUCAAGUCAGAAAUCGUUAAGCUUUUUAAUUAUUAAUGUGAAAUAUUCAUUGUUUAUCAACAACAUUAUGUUCGUCUAUUUACCAGGUGACAAUUCGAUAACUAAACUGCUUUUGAUUUCAUUGAAUUUUUGCCGAUGGUUAGUGUCAUGUUAAAUUACUAAUUGGUUAGUGUGUUGGCGUUCAUAUAGGGCACACUGCACACCAUAUUUUGACGAUCCAACCGUUCAUAUUUAGGUCUUUCCUAAAAAAUCAUUUACCAAAAAUUACCCAAAGCUGAAAUCAUUUGACGUUGGAUUAAUGGUAGUCGUUGUAGUAUUGUUUUCUUUCAAACUGUAUCCGUCUAGUUUUUCACUACAAUUGGAUGUCUUAAUGAUUUUGAAUUUAUCUAUUUUUUUGCAAGAAUGAUUUGAUGUGCUGAAUAUAAACAGUUUGGAUCGUCGAAAAAAGGUACAUAAUGAGCACCAAGGUGUCCCUCAAAUAAAAUUACUGAAAAUUUGACAUUAUCCCUUAAAACUAUAUUUUCCUCUACUAAAAGCCAUCUCCUUUUGUUUUCUUGAAUAAAGCCCCUUGACUAGCUUCCAACUAAACAAAUUCUUUAAUUAAGUUUCACUUUUCAAAUUGUGUAUUUUUUGAAUGCCUAAACUACCCCUAUUAAUACUUGGAUAGGGUUUUUGAAUCAGUUACUUGUUAUAUAUCCAUUUAAUUAAUUUUAUAUAUUUUACAAAAUAAUUCACGUCAUUCAUUGUAUAUUCAAUGUAUUAACUUUCAAAUUGUUAUAACGUGUGGAUUGAAAAAUAAUAAUACUAAUUUUAUAAUUUUGUGCUUUUAAUAUAUAAGUUAAUUUACCUACCAACAUAACAAUAAACCUAAAACAGCUUCAGCUAAUACUCCAACCCUUAAUACACAAAACAAAAGCUAUAUGUUCCGCGCAAUUUUUACCUACAAAAUAGUCUAAUUUACCUAUUCCAUCAAACCAAAAUUUAAAGGGUCUAAUUUACUUCCAAAAUUGUUACAUCCCACAUCGCCCGGGGGAGUGGAUCAUGUAAACCUUAUAUGUAUAUUCCCAUCUCUACCUAGCACGAGGCCUUUUGGGAGCUCACUGACUUCGGGUUCCAUCGGAACUUCGAAGUUAAGCGAGUUUGCGCGAGAGCAAUCCCAUGAUGGGUGACCCACUAGGAAGUUCUCAUGUGAGUUCCUAGAAACAAAACCGUGAGGGCGUGGUUGGGACCCAAAGCGGACAAUAUCGUGCUACGACGGAAUCGAGCCCAGGAUGUGGUGGGGGCCCGGGUCGGGAUGUGACAAAAAUGGUCAAUUUACCUACAUGAUUUAUGUGCAUUAGAUUAAAAGUUUGUUUAAUUGCCUACAAGCACAAACCCACAACAUUCGAACAUUAUCUAAUAUCACUAAUUUUUUUUAAGAAUAGGUAAAUUAAUUUAAAUGUAGAUAAAUUAGCAUAAUAUUAAUAAGUAGGUAAAUUAAUUUAAAUGUAGGUAAAUUAGUAUAGUAUUAAUAAGUAGGUAAAUUAAUUUAAAUGUAGAUAAAUUAGUAUAAUAUUUUAUAAGUAGGUAAAUUAGUAUAAUAUUUGUAUAUAGGUAAUUACAUGAUUCAAAAUGCAGGUAAAUUAGUAUAAUAUUUUAUAAGUAGGUGAAUUAAUUUGUAUGUAGGUAAUUACAUGAUUCAAACAAUAUUAUUUUUUCCGUACAAGAUAUGUCUUUUUUUUUUAAUUUGGUAAAUUAAUUUGUUGCUAAUAUUUAUUAUACAAGAAAGGUAAAAUAUCCAUAUGGAUUUAAUUGCUCAUCAUAAUUAGGAUGAGUAACAACAUUUAUUGACCAAAUUAGGAUUUUGUGGCUUAAGUUGUAGAUGUAUUGUAAUGGUUGGUCAUAUAUUUGUCUACAUGGCAGUCUAUUUGAAAAUUGGGUUUUAGUUUAAAUUUAGGUGGGUUUUUAUUUGAAAAAUAGGAGUUUAAAGGGCUUAUAUCUAAAAAACCCAUAAAAUUAUUUGAGGGUCCCCUAAACGGAAAAGAAUUGUAUACAUAUAUAAUUAUAUAUACAUGGAAGACAAUAUUUACAAGCUAUAUACGAAUAAUUAUGUAUAAUAUAGAAACAAAAUGCAAGCUGUUAACAUCACGAAUUAAAGAAUAUUCCUCCUCAAUUCUUUUUGGACGACAAAGAAAAUUCCUCCUUACAUAUAAUCUCAAUGAACAUCGAAGUGGUAGCUAUCAACAUGAUGAAUAAUGAUCAGUUUUCUCUCCAGUCAUAUAGAGUACAUAAUUUCAAUGAAUCUUGAUAUUAUUUUUCUUUCUAUUUUGUUAGAAUUCAUUGAUUAGAAUUCAUUGAUUAGAAUUCAUUGAUAAACGUUGUUACUCUUUUUUCUUUUUUGGAUUCAAAAUAGUUCACUGUCUCCAACGUACACGUGCACAUGCAAGAAACUAUGAUUGGCAGUGUGCUAACCAAUCACGUACUCUAAACCAAAUAUUCAGAAAUAAUGCUUGGACAUUUGUACUUAGUCAUAAAAGGGGCUCGGAAUUUUCAAAUCCCUAGUAAUCUUUGGAAAGCGGUCCCCUUCUACCUAAUCACCGAGGCCACAAAUCCGGACAUUUGAAAUUUGAUCAAACGGUUAAAGUUAUUGUAACUUUUAAAAUUGGCCCCUGUUUGUAGUCGUGAAUCCAAUUUCAAAAACCUGGAUUUGUAGAUUAGAUGGAAGGGAUCCGGAGUCCCUUUCCAUAAUCUUUGGAAACGAAAAACAAAUUUGCCUCUGUGUUACACAAAUUACUAAACACAAAUGAUACAUAAAUAAUGUAUAAUAAUUCAAACUCACGACCAUUAUUUUCAGGAGCAAAUUAACUUCUCUCGUUGCUCCAGUUAAUCCCUUGGGUUUCUCUAACAGAUCUGAAUUUUUUUAUGAGAUAUGGGUUUUGGAGAUGAUGAAUCAUCACCUCAUGAUUCACAUUGCAAAUGGAGUUGUAGGACUGUAGAUGAUAAAUUAUUGGAGCCUACACGGCUACACAACAUACGAUGGAGAAAUGAGAGUGAGAAAUUCUGCAUAUCAUAAAAAAUGAUUUGGCGGAAAUUGCGUGCAUAUUAUUCUGUUGCUGUCCACAAUUCAGAGAACAACACAUGUCGAAUUUUUAUUUAAAAUAAAAAAUAUACAAGUAUGUGUUACAAAAAUUAUAUAUACAUUAUGUUAGUGAGCGUUUUUAAUUUGCUCACAUGACUUUUCUUUAGUAAGCUAAUUAACAAGGAAAAAGUGCAUGUUGAUUAACUAUUUUUGAAUGCUAAUAAAAAUUCUCUUGUCAUCUAGAGAGCUGUUAAGAUAACUUUCUAGUCAUUUUAGUAAACAUUUAAGUUUAGAAAAUAAAGAGCAUGAUCAGAGAUGGUCUUAUUAAAUAUAUAUUUUUUAAUACAAAGAUUAAUAUUUAUAUGUUGUCCAUAUAUAUAUUCACGUAAAAAUUAAGACGAUCAAUGCUUCAGAUACAGUAUGACAAUGUAAAUAUGUAUGACACUCAUCAUGCAUGUGUGUAUAAAAACCCUAGAACACCAAAUCCUUCCUACCUCGCAAAACUACAAUUUCUUGUACAAGACUCAUCAGUUCCUUGCCUAAAGACCCGAUACAAUAUUUCAAAGCAACAGUCGCUUUCUACUCUGAUUGCCAUUCUUCAUUUGUGGCGGGCUAUAAAAGGGCACGACUCCUCCUAUUUCUUUGUGAGCGUGUGUGUGUGUGUGAGAGAGAGAGAGAGAGAGAGGGAAGGGAAAGCCAAAAAAUGGGGAGGAGUCCAUGUUGCUCCAAGGAAGGACUCAACAGAGGAGCCUGGACUGCCUUGGAAGAUAAAAUUCUAACAGCUUACAUUAAAGCCCAUGGAGAAGGCAAAUGGAGAAGCCUUCCCAAAAGAGCUGGUGAGAAAAGCUGCUUUUUGCUUUUUUCUCCAUCAAUUUUUACCUAUCUUUUGCUCUGUUUUCACUCUCUGUUUUACCAAAACCCUUCCAACUGAAUAAAAUGCAGGUCUAAAGAGAUGUGGUAAAAGUUGCAGACUGAGAUGGUUAAACUAUCUGAGACCAGACAUAAAGAGAGGCAACAUUUCAGGUGAUGAAGAGGAACUCAUUGUUAGACUCCAUAACCUUCUUGGUAACAGGUAUCUCUCUCUCUCUCUCUCUCUCUCUCUCUCACACACACACUCAAAAUUAGGAGACCGUUUGAUAACCAUUUUGGUUUUGAGUUGGAUGCUCUAAUUCUGUUGAUAUUUUACUACAGAUGGUCGUUGAUAGCCGGAAGGCUACCGGGGCGAACAGACAAUGAAAUCAAGAAUUACUGGAACACAACUUUGUGGAAGAAAUCGAAAGCCGAUUCUCCUUCUGGAUCCUCGAAAGAAACUUCUCAACAUCCAAGCAAAUCCGUAGUGAAAAAGAAAGAUGUCGAGUCCAAAACAACAUCAACUGCAGCUGCUAAACCUCUAGUAAUAAGAACCAAGGCCACUAGGUUGUCCAAAAUUCUAGUCCCACAAAACAUUCCUAGUCAAGGACGGAGCUAGAAAUAUUUUUGACUGGGGGCGUCCUAAAACAACCAAGUAAAAUAAUGGGUGUUAAGUUGUUGAGGGUCAUGUACAAUGAAAAAUCUCUAAAUUAAAAAGUUAGAAUUUAAAUUGUAAUUCCACAAACGAAUGGAUGAAGUAAAUUCAUAUAAAAAACUUUGCAGAGUAAAUUUUUUAUAUCAAGUUAUGAUACUUCAUCGAUUGAAUCCAAUCUAUUUAUGAAACCCCCAUUUCAAUUGAGUUUGAUUUAGGUUAGAAAACGUGGAAUAUUCAGAACCAGAAUAAAAAAUUUAACUGUUGUUUUAAUUGUCAUGACAAUUUUUUUCAUCGCCCAAAAAUCUAAGUGGGGGCGGAUGCCCCCUCUGGGCCUUAGGUAGCUCCGCCCUUGUUCCUAGUGAUGAAAAUUAUACAGCAGCUGCCGCAAACCCAUUAGAGCUGCAAUCUCAUCAAACCCAAUUGGCGGAACAAGGCGGAAGUACCGAAGAGUUUCCGAGGACUAAUGCAGACGACUGCAGCAACAUCUUGAAGAACUUUGGCUGCGAUGAUGACGACAUUGAUGUGAAGGGAGAUCAAUACUGCAAUGAAUUUCAGUCGCUCGACUCUAUACCGUUGGAUGAGGCAAUGAUCAACGACGGCUGCUGGACGGGAGGAAACGGUUGCGAGCUGGAGGACUACGGUGCCUCAUUGGAUUUAGAUUCUUUGGCAUUUUUGCUUGACUCUGAGGAUUGGCCGUCCCAAGAAAAUGUUAUUGUCUAACUCAUAUGCUGCAUAGUAACAUAAAUAACCAAGUGUGCAUGCGUGACUUAUGUAAAACCAUUAAAAUUUAGUUGUAGUUGAGCUUUGGCUCGUGAUGGAUAUUCAGUAAGUAUUAAGAUACCCGGAUGCUGCAUAUAGAUGCCCAAAUCAUAUCCUUAAGGCAUGUAGUGACUUACGUACUCUUAUUAACUUUUCGUAAUUCAAUUGAAUUUUUAGCAAUUCAAAAUGAGUAUUUUAAUAAUAACAUGCUUAAAGUGUGAUUGUUAAAUUUGGGAAUGCAAACAUCGUUACCGCAAUUAUAAAUUUCCAAACAAGUGACCAUGAAAGGUGGCAAUUAUAAAUUUCCAACAUGUCCAACAGUAAAAAAUUAUAAAAAAAUAGGGAAUUUUUUUUCUUAUUGUUCUAAAAUUACUCAACCAUCUUCUUCAUUCCCACACCACACCACAACUCAAUAUUUAUUUUUACAUCAAUCUCCUAUAUUUGUUUUCCACUUUCAAUUUUUUUUUUUUACAAAAAAAAAGUGAGAGGGCAUGAAAAGAAAAAUUAAAAAAAAAUUAUUUGUAAAUAGUAAUUACCCUUGUCCGUACCCAACGAAUAAAAUUGUACAAAGAUAAAUACUAUUUAGGGUGAAUGGUAAGAGCAUGUUACAUGCCUUAUCCUCCCUAAACGGACGAAACUGCUCUAAAUUGAGAGGCAGAUGUUGCUUAGGUCAUUUCAUAAUCAUUAAAUUGACAUGGUGCAGUUUUUCACCAACAUGUCAAAUUGUCAAGCCACAAAAAAAAUAUGAUUCCCCAAACAUGCGUAGGCUUUUUCGAUCCAUGAUGUUACUAAAAUUCACAAGGGUUCCACCAUCAAAGUAUAUGUAUAUUUCGAUUUCCGAGUAGGACAUUGAUAAUUAGGAAAUAGAGGAACAUGACAAAAUGCAUGUGAUCCAAAAAAAAAAAAAAACAAAUACCUUUGACAUUUUUUUAUUUGAUGGUGUAAGAAAAUGGGUCCUAACAAAUUUUCCUAAAGUCUGUCUUCGUCUGUGCCAAAUGUGCUGGGCACAUGCAUGAGCGUUACUAAUUUGUCUUCUAAUAAAUUUUUUUUUUCGUCUUUAGAUGAUAGCUUUCCUUCAGGACGGUAGCUAGAUUUCAAAGUUACUUUCUCACCAAUUUUUGAGAUUUGAAUUGCUGGUAGCUACAAUGGGGUUGGUUCACUUUUUCCCACGGUUUGAUAUCUAAUUAAAUGAUGAUAUUUUGAGGUAGGUAAAGAAGCAUCUGUCCACGAAUUAAUAUCUAAUUUUGAUUAACGGAUGUAAUGAAUCGUAACUAAUCAUGCCUAGAAGGCAAAAGAAGGGUAUAACACUAUUAUUAAUCAUGCUUAGAUGUUGAGAACAACUUACACGAUCUGAAAACGUUGUUAGAUGAUUUUCUGUGUAUGCCCAUGAAAUAAGGAUAUGUAGACCAAAGUUUACACAUAUUUUUAUUUUAGUGACAUAAGACACUACUAUAACGAUGUACUCUUACUUUAUAAGUUCUUCUAAGGUUUAGUCAUGUCGCUAACCCCUUUGUAAGUCCAAAAUCAUCGAUUUCAUAACCUACAAAAUAAUGGAGAUUUUGGAAAACCUAUACAUAAGGAGACUAAUAUUGCAUUAUUACACAAGAUUAGCAGCCUUGUCAUUUCCUUUUGACAUAGCGCAGCUGGCUGGGAGACCAGGAGGUGUUUGUCUCAUCGGUGAGAGGUAGGUUCAAACCACUGCCUAUCACUUCAACUUUGAAUAUAUGUGUUUUUUAUUAUAAAUAAAUAAGAUUUAGGUUUUAUGGGGCAAUCUUGAAUGUGACAGUACCAGUCCCAUCCUCAGUUAUAGGGACAAGGGUGAUGUUACUUACCAGUUACCAGAUCCUUUUCGUUCUGAUUUUUCUUUUGAUCUUGCAAAAUAUAUAUAUAUAUGAUUGAAAUUGGUUUUUUAAGGUCAUAAUUUAAAAUCAAUUUUAUAAAAAAAUUUAAAAUAGUGAUUAGAAUUUCUUUGUUUAAUUGAAAAAUAUUUUAUUUAUUAUCACCUGAUAUUUUAGUUUUUAUUUUUCUUUUGAUCUUGCAAAUUGCAAUAUAUAUAUAUAUAUGAUUAUGAUUGAAAUUGUGUAUUUUUAGGUCAUAAUUUAAAAUCAAUUUUAUAAAAAACUAUAAAUAACUUGAGAAUUUCAAUGUUUAAUUGAGAAAGAUUUUAUUUAUUGUCACCAAAUCUUUUUGCUCAUUUUUCUUUGGAUCUUGUAAAUUGCAACAUAUAGUUCAUGAUGAUUGGAAUUGUUUAUUUUUUAGAUCAAGAUGAGAAAGAAAACAAAAAUUGUAGAACGAAAAAUAUUUAAAUGACAAGGUUGCUAGCAUGUCUUCUCACGUGACAUAUAUACAAGAAUAAUAUAUUCUAGAAAUCCAAUUAUCAUGUUCAACAAAUUCAACGCUCAAACAUAAUGUUAUUUGGUGGCGAUAGUGAUCAAGUUCAACACCCUAACAUAGUGCAAUUCGAUGAAGGCAGUAGCAAUCAUGUUGAACGACUCAACAUAAUGCCGUUUGGAGAAGGCAGUAGCAAUCAAGUUCCAAGAACAAUGCGCUUAACUCAUAUAAGGCAAAUUGCCCGAUCGAAUAGGACACACUUGCAUCAGGAUGGACUUAUUCAAAGUUUUACUAAUAAUGGUAAUUGCACAAACUACCAUAGUACAACUUUGAAAAAGAUAAACAUCAAUAUCAUCAUUACUGUAAACACCACUUAUUACCUUACUUCCAUUUCAUUUUAUUAUAACAGAAAAUACAACAGUGCAAUCAUUCCAUUCGAAUAUUCCAAUGAAUCAUUCUUAUCCACCCAUCGUCAAUGAAGGUAUCAGUUUUGGAAUGUUAAUACCUACAUUUUUUUACUAUGCUCUCUAAACCAUAAAACACUUUUAAUGUUUCCUUUUGAAGCAGAUGAUUUUAAUCUCAUUAAUGAAAAUGAGAUCCAGCCUAACGAGGAUGUACCACCUCAACAGCAUCCGAUGGGAACAAGGCCAAUUCAUAAUUGUGCUAGAAACUUCAAUGAAAACAUGGGAAUCCCAAGAUUUCACAUGCCAAAUCCAACCACAUGUCCAAAUUGUCAUGCCCUUUUGUUCUCUCAUGAAACAUUUGAAAUGUGUUGCGUACGUGGAAAGCUUGCUCUACCAUUGACAUCGUCCCCUCCUAAAAUGACUGAGCUUUUUUGCAACCAAUCUGCCCAGGGAAGACAUUUUAGGCAGAAUAUACGAGCUUACAACCACAUUUUUGCCUUCACUUCAAUGGGAGUUCAUGUUGACGAAAACCUAGCAACAGGAAGACGUGGUAUUUACACAUUUCGUGCUCAAGGUUCCAUAUACCAUAAGAUUGGAAGUCUCUUGCCUAUUGGAGAUAGUAGACCAAGAUUCCUACAAAUGUAUAUAUAUGACACUGCUCAUGAAAUAGACAAUCGGAUGAGAGAAAGUGAAGCACUAAAUAGAGAUGUGGUUGAAAAAAUCCAACAAAUCUUGAAUCAAUAUAAUCCAUUUGUGCAAACAUUUCACCACCUUGCGCAACGUCAAGAUUUGCAAAGUUGUAGAUUGAUUAUCAAGGAGCAGCCCGCGAAUCAACGACAAUAUUGUUUACCGUCUCCAUCUCAGGUUGCUGCAAUCAUAGUAGGUGGUGAAAGAUUAGAAAACAUUAGAGGUCGAGAUAUUGUUGUGCAAACUACGGAUGAUCAACUUAAGAGUAUCAAAGAUUGUGUCGGCUACUAUGACCCUUUACAAUAUCCAUUGUUGUUACCUUAUGGAACGUACGGAUGGGAUGUGAAUACUCGAAAUAAUACCAACAGAAAAGUGACAUGUUGUGACUAUUAUUUGUAUGUUCUUCAGGUAACCUACCACCUUCAUCUCUAUCAAUAAAUAUUAAUUUUAAAACUUAUAUUGUGUUGAACAAUGAAUUUUAUCAUUUUAGAUCCGUCAACAUGAUGAAUCGCUUCUACUUCGUGGUGGCCGCCUAUUGCAGCAAUAUGUAGUUGACAACUACAUAAAGAUCGAAUCAUAAAAGCUUAGAUGGAUGCGUGAUAAUCAACACACAAUUCGAUCUGAAUUUUAUCGAGGACUACAAGACUCAUUAAUUACAGGACAAAAUAAUGUAGGUACGAGGCUAAUCAGUUUAUAAUAAAAAAAUAUAUUCUUCAUGUUCAUGUUUUGUCACAUUAAAUGAGACUUAUUAAUGGGUUGAAACAAAACAAACAUAUUUAGACUUAUUAAUGACUUUUAACAAAACAAAUACAGGAAACAUCGGUCGUCGUAGGACUAUAUUACCAUCAUCUUUUGUUGGUAGUCCCCGUGACAUGUAUCAAAGGUAUCAAGAUGCAAUGACUUUGGUGCAAAAAUAUGGAAGGCCAAAUAUUUUCCUAACAAUGACAUGUAAUCCAAAUUGGGAAGAAAUAAGUGAUGAGCUACUACCUGGCCAAGCACCACAAGAUUGACCAGAUUUGCUUACAAGGGUUUUUCGUGCAAAAUUUGAACAGUUGAAGAAUGAUGUUAUAAAAAAGGUGUUUUAGGCAGAGUUCUUGCAUAUGUAUAUGUCAUUGAGUUUCAAAAGCGCGAUCUCCCCCAUGUUCACAUGCUUCUCAUGUUAGAAGAAAAUGAUAAGCUUAAUAGUCCAGAUGAUUAUGAUCAGAUGGUACGUGCUGAAAUACCAAUUCCAGAUGAAGAGCCUGAAUUGUAUGGUGCCGUGUUAAGGCAUAUGAUACAUGGUCCAUGUGGAAUACAUAAUUCACGAUCACCCUGUAUGAAACGUGGUAGUUGUAAACAAAAUUAUCCUAAGCCAUUUGCACCAACUACAGUUCAAGGAAAUUAUUCUUAUCCAGUCUAUCGUAGAAGAGACAAUCAUAAUCCAGUCUCAUUACAUCAAAAUGCACGUAUAAUGGUGGAUAAUCGGUGGGUCAUUCCGUAUAACUCAUGGUUACUCCUCAGAUAUGAUUGUCAUAUUAAUGUUGAGAUUUGUUGCAGCAUUAAGAGUGUUAAGGAUAUGUACAAAUAUGUUUAUAAAGGUCCCAAUAGCUUUUGAAGUCCAUCCUGAACCUAUUCAAGAUGAAAUAAAGCAGUUUGUUGAUGCAAGAUGGGUUUGUGCACUGUAAUAAGCACUGUUGUGAGGACACUGUAAUAGGCAUUGCUGUGAGGACACUGUAAUAGGCACUGCUGUGUGUGAGAGAGUAUCCACGUCAAACAACUUCAAAUUUAUUGCUUCCUGUUAUGUGCAACCAUAUCAUACUUUCUAAACCAUAUACAUUGACAAUUACAAUGGAAAAAAACUAACACAAUACACAUUUAGGGGCGCGUAGCGCCCGUGAUGCAAAAAUGCCUCUCGCACGCAGAGAGGCUAGUGUGUAUAUAUAUAUAUAUAUGAUUGAAAUUGGUUUUUUAAGGUCAUAAUUUAAAAUCAAUUUUAUAAAAAAAAUUUAAAAUAAUGAUUAGAAUUUCUUUGUUUAAUUGAAAAAUAUUUUAUUUAUUAUCACCUGAUAUUUUAGUUUUUAUUUUUCUUUUGAUCUUGCAAAUUGCAAUAUAUAUAUAUAUAUAUAUAUAUAUUUGAUUAUGAUUGAAAUUGUGUAUUUUUAGGUCAUAAUUUAAAAUCAAUUUUAUAAAAAACUAUAAAUAACUUGACAAUUUCAAUGUUUAAUUGAGAAAGAUUUUAUUUAUUGUCACCAAAUCUUUUUGCUCAUUUUUCUUUGGAUCUUGUACAUUGCAACACAUAGUUCAUCAUGAUUGGAAUUGUUUAUUUUUUAGAUCAAGAUGAGAAAGAAAACAAAAAUUGUAGAACGAAAAAUAUUUAAAUGACAAGGUUGCUAGCAUGUCUUCUCACGUGACAUAUAUACAAGAAUAAUAUAUUCUAGAAUCUCCUCAAUUAUAUGGUUUGUCUCCAACUUUUUGGCAAUAUUAGUUUAAGCAACAGGAUCUGUGUAUAAAAUUAAAAGAAUAGUCCUACACACUUCAUCUUAAACAACUAUAUAUAUGCGUCUUCCCUGGGUACUUCAUUUUUGUCACAGCCCGUCCCGGAAUUAUAAAUUUCGAGGACGUGAAAGUACGAAAAUAACCUUAAACGUGACAAGGUGCGUAAGUGUGAAGUUGGUUCAAUCUAAGUUCAUAACUUUUGGUUAAUUAAAAUAUCUUGUGGGAUAAGAACUUAGAAUUAGGUUUACAUUUAUUGUAUUAAUUUUAGUUAAAGACUGAGAAGGGGCCACGUGGGAUCCCCAUUCCAUAUUUCCCUCCCUAAAACCCGUAACUCCUUCUCUCUCUUUUUCUUCUUUCAUCUCAGAAAACUCUCUCACUCUCUCUCUUUACUCUCGAACUCACGGCAACCACCAAGAAACCACCACAAUCUUGUACCAACGUUCCAUUUAAGACCACCAUCGAACUCCUGGAACCUCCACGAUCACGUAGACACCAAUUUCAGGUAAGUUUUACUUCGGAAAACCUAGAUUCUAAACUUCCCGUGAAAGUGUACUGUUCAUGAGCUUUGAAUUGGUUGUGUUUUAGGCCAAACUAAGCUCACAGUGAGCUUAAGGAAGUCCCAAGGAAGCUCGGAGUGCUUCGUUGGCAUGAAUUGGACGUCGGGAUCACCUAGUUCAAAGGUAGGCCGAAUUUUCAUAUUUUUGAAAAGUUUGAUCCCGUUGUUUUUGAAGCUUAAAAUUAGUCCAUCGUGAUAGGUUAUGAUUAGGGCUUCAAUUUGGUAUAAAUUACGUGAAAAUUGGAUGAAAAACGAAGGAGAAUAGCAAGUUUGAAAAUUUUCCAGAAACCGGUGAACAGUCCGACGACCGGCAACUCACCGGAGAAGACAUGGAAUAUUCCGUCAGUUUUGACGGAAUAUGCUAACGGCGUGACUGACGCCGUUAAUUAUUUAACGGAAUAUGCUAGGAUUUAACGGAAUAUUCCCUAACUGCCGUUACUGUGCCGUCAGUGUGCAUGGCACGUGGCCGCGCGUGGGGGGCGCGUAGGUCCGUGCCACGUCAGGCGCGUGGGGGCGCGUGAGACCUCCAAAAAUUAUUUUAAAAAUAUGGGGAUGAUCCUGAGGUUGUGUAGGUCACGGUGGUAUAUUCAUAUACCCAAUUUGAGCAAUAUAUGAGGAGUUAUUAGCUAAGAAUUGGGUUAGGCGUUAAAUAACGCCAAAUUGGUUACUUUUGUAUAGGUGAGGCUUAUGCGGGCAUCGGGCAUGGCCAAGGGAUGCUCAGGGACUUACGAGACGUCGAUGUAAUCUGUGAGUGGGCAGUUUUGUUUUCCGUAUAUAUAUAUACUUGACGUUUCCCAGAAAUUGAAUUGAAAUGAAAAUAUGUUUAAAAUGAAAUGCAUAUGAGUUAUGUGGAAAAACGGAAAGUGAAAUACCAUGCAUAGAAUUGAUAUGAAAAGUAUAUAGAAAUGUGAGUUGAAAUGCCAUGCAUGAAUUAAUAUAUGAUGCAUAUGUAUGAAUUGGUGCGGUGGACGCACAGGUAAGAAUUGAUUUAUGAUGCAUAUGUAUGAAAUGGUGCGGUGGACGCACAGGUGAGUAUUUAUUUCUGUUAUGAUGAUGUUGAUGUAUAUUGAGCUCAAAUCCUGCACCAUAGUUUAGUGCUUAUAGUAUUCACCGCAUCGCACGCUCGUCUUGGAUCCAAGUAGAUGCUAGUCGUACAGUCCACGCGGAGUGGGUACGACAGGCCAGUCGCGAGAGUGUUAGUGAGAUUCCGACUGGUGGGUGACCUUAGAUUAUGUGCACAGAUGAUUUAUGAGAAGCACUAGAGCGUAACUUGUGUGCAGAAGGCCGUACAGGUCACGCGGAGUGACUCCGGCAGAGUGUGAGAGUGAUAGAUUUUGAGCUCUAGGUUCAACCGGGCUAAUAGAGGGCCUCCGGUUGAUUAUCUUAUUGCACCUGAUAUAUGAUUUAUGUUGAUGCAUUCAUACCUUAUUACUGUUGAGAUGAUGUGGCAUGGCAUAAUUAAUAUGAGAAAUGUUGAGAUGAUGUGGCAUGGC
rnacentral:lncRNA from 1 species